UUUCGAUCUCUGUUUGUAUUCGGCCGUCGAAAAUGUCGAAACGAGGUUAGUUUCUUUUUUCUCUGAACCCAUUACUUAUUUCCUUUUUUUCUUUCCAUUUUCCGCUUGUUUCCUUAGAAAAAAUAUGAACAAUGAUAAUUCUUUUUAUUUUUUUAAUUAGGGCGUGGAGGAUCAGCUGGAAACAAGUUCAGGAUGUCGCUGGGUUUACCAGUGGCUGCCACCGUGAACUGUGCAGAUAACACCGGUGCUAAGAACCUUUAUAUCAUUUCCGUGAAGGGAAUCAAGGGCCGCCUCAACCGAUUGCCAUCGGCUUGUGUUGGAGACAUGGUGAUGGCUACUGUCAAGAAAGGAAAGCCUGAUCUAAGGAAGAAGGUCUUGCCUGCCGUCAUUGUGAGGCAACGUAAGCCUUGGCGCCGAAAGGACGGUGUUUACAUGUACUUUGAAGGUAUAAUCUUUGUUUUCUUUUUUAUAGAUUUGUUAAUUAUUAUUGUUUGUGGUUUUAUUGCUUGGUAGUGUGAAUUGAAAUUAGGGAUCUUUUGAUUUAUGUUAUUCGGGCUCUGUUGUGAGUGUUUGAUAAUUGAUUCGCUAAUGUUCAUAGUUUUCGAAGGUUUUUGUAUGUUGGAGAGAUAAUUUGAAGUGAACUAAUUUAUCUUAGGGUUUAGGGUUAGUAAAACUAGUAGAUGGACAUGUUGAUUCAUACCCGAACCUAAUAACUUGGCAUGAUCGACUUGGAUAAAAAUCUGGCCACUCUAAUUUGACGGUAAAAGCUAACAAUUCGAGCCCAAAACCUCAACCUGAAUUGUUUCUAACCUAGAACUGACCUGAUCUCGAAAUGAAAUGAAUUCAGUCCUAAAUAACCCGAACCCUAAACAGCCUGAACUAGUAACCUGAAAUGGUUUAAACCUUUUAUGACCCAAACUCGAAAAACCCGAGGCCGUAAAACAAAUGACCAGAAGCUGAAAACAACCGAAACCCAAAGCUCAAAUCUGAAAUUGGCCCUAACUUGAGAGCAGCAUAAUUAUCCGAGUUGUGUAGUGUUUUUGUAGUGAAAUUUCUCUCAUUGGGGAUCUUCCAUUUCGUAAGUCAAUCUCAUUUGGGGAACUUUCAUCGUGAUCUCCUAUUUCCUGUUUAGGUGGUUCUCUACACAUCUCAUACCAAGAUAAAUUGAAGUAUUGACCUUACCCCAAUACCUGAUGGCAACUAUGGUUAUCAUCCCUGAUUGACUUGUUUAAUAGGAAUUAAAUUAUGUUGUGUAUUACCAGACAAAAGUCCAGGUAUCUACUUCAAUGUUCAGUGGUUGAUACCGUUACUAGUCUGGAAAAUUAACUGUGUCCAUCGUUGCAGAUGCGUUAAGUUUCCGAAGCUUGCAUGUGCUCCAUUUGGGCCCUACAUAUUCUAAUAUGUGAACAUUGUGAUAUGAAAUUCAGUGAGUCUUAAAUGGUCUUGACAUACGAGCCAGAUAUUCAAUUUAAUGUUCGAUGGCUGACUCAGUUACUAGUUUGGAAAACCGAGUGUCUCCAUUGUUGUAGAUGCAUUAAGUUCUUGAAACUUGCAUCUGCUCCGUUUAAUCUCUGCAUAUUUCACUGAAUAACACUCUGGGACUGUUUUUUGUUAUUUUACUCAUACUCUGUUGUUAGUGUCAGAUAUAGGUAUGUGACUGACACCAACUCUUCAAGAGAAAUGACGAGUUCUGAUACACUGCAUUCCUUAAAUUUCUUAGAGUUAUGAUGUUUUAGUGUUCUUAGUUUCUGAAUUGAAUCAUGUCGCGAUUGCAGAUAAUGCUGGUGUCAUUGUGAAUCCGAAGGGAGAAAUGAAAGGUAAAAAGCCAAUUCGAAAACGAAUUUGAUAAUUUCAGGUCAACACACCUGCUUUUUAAUUGAAAUGACUUAAUUGAUAAUAUUGUUAUAUAGGUUCUGCCAUUACUGGUCCAAUUGGGAAGGAGUGUGCUGAUCUGUGGCCAAGAAUUGCAAGUGCAGCAAAUGCCAUUGUUUAGGGAUUUGAAUUUUUCUAGAGAUUUUUGUUUCCUUGAGUCAUGGUUUUUGCUGGAUCAAGAUUUUGUUAUAUGUGUUUUUUUAGGGGUUCUUGAAAAAUAUCGUAUGGAUAGCUUUGAUUUGGAUUUUGAUACUGGAAUGUAGUUAAUGGAUUGUUCUCCCAUGUUUAAGCUUAUUAUUUCCUUUUUCUUUGAAGAUCUUGCUGAUCUUAGCCAUAUUUAUCGUAACUUGGAACCGGAUUGCUGAUUGAAUCGGAAAUCGGUAAGUAUAUCACUCUGGACAGAGGGAAUGAAUUGGUUAGAUUGUGAAUCUAUGUGAUUGAAUUGGUUUUUUUUCUAAAAAAAAGUUUUGUAAUAUUUUAAUAUUUUUAUAAAUUUUUAAUAGCUUGUUUAAUUGAAAUCGGAUUGGCCCUGUGAUUGAAAAUCUCAUCGUCUUAGGGUAUUGAUUUUUAACAAUUUUGUUGACCUAUAUCGAAAUAUUGAAGGUUUAGAGGCUAGAUUAAAAUUCAAGUAUAGUUUGAGAGUGCUUGAUGAAAUAAACCCAUGAAGCUUUAUAACUUGUUGGUUUGUGAGUUUUCAUUUUCAAUUGUCUGAAAAAUUAUUAUAUAAAUAAUACAAAAUAAAACUGAAGUAUGUUCUUGUUGGACAUGAAACUACAUAAACAUGGAACAUUUUGUAAAUAAAGACAAAAACGAAAGUCCACGUGUAAGGCCAUAAAUCAGGCAAGGAAUCCAAGCUUCUCACCAUUCUUCUUUGCCAAACGAAUCAAUCCUUGCCUUUGUUUACCAUCUGCCCCAAUUGCUUUGCAAAAUUCGUUAAUUACCUUGAAAAUAUAUAAAAAAAAAUGUUAGUGAUUAAAAUUAAUAUAUAAUAAUGGAAGGACCGAACGGUAUUAAAUUAAAUUACAAAUAUUAUAAGUCAUUAAUUUAAGCAUGGUAGUCGGGUUUAAAUGCGCUUAUAUGCAUAAUAAUAAAAUAUUUAAGGAUUUGAAGAAUAUAAAAAAUAAAAAUAAAAAAUAUUAUGCGUAUAAUUAUGAUGACAAAAUUACAACACGAAAACGAUAUAACAUGAGAAAACAUUAUAAACACGACAAGGAAUAGGAUAUAUGGAUUUCUGAAAAAUAUAAAUAUACAGUGUUAUAUAAAUUUGGUUUUUUUUUUUAAAUUUUGUAUUUGGAAUUUUUAUUUAUUCUAAUUUGAUAUUUAAGUAUCAUUUCGAUAUUCUUUUUUUAAUUUGAUAUUUGAAGGUUUUUCUAAGUACACGUGAACAUUAAAGCUAAACUAAGUACUAAACUGGAACAGAAAAAGAAUUCAUGUACCAAAUAAUAUAUUAACCCUUUAAUAUCAAUUCAACUAUGAUGCGAAUAUAGGAACCGUAAAUGGAUACCUGAGAAUGUAAGGCAAUAGCUUUUCCUCUAAGCUGAUUGAACCUCUUUUUGCCGACGAUUUGGCGAGUAACCACCACAAGCGGCGCAAACACCCCUUUCCCUUCAUUAACGUUCUUCAUCAUCGGCUGAGCUCGAACUGGCUUUCCGAUUCGAACGACGUUGGGAGCCGAUUUAGCCGCCAACAUGGCAUAAUCUUCACCUCCAUUGAAGGAACUCUUCCCUAAACUUCCCUUAAACCCAGCUACUGAAACCGAAGUAGAAGCAGCCAUUGAAGACCUAUUCAAAAGCUUCUCUUCUCUUACAGAUAAUGGGAGAAUGGGGGUUUCUUUUCGUUGUUUAUGACUUGUGAUUGGUAAAGCUCUACUGGGUUUUUAAAAAAAAAAUUGAAAAAUGAUGAUAUUUUUUGGGUGUAAAUUAGAGAGCCUGGUGUGUUUGUGUGGACUGGAGAGCUUCAUUGAAGCAUUAGUGACCACAUAUAUAGUGUUGGCUUCUUUUGGAAUUUUCUUUGUUCCAUAGUUACGUUGAAUCCUUGAUCUCCGUUAAUUUUGAAGUAGGGUUGGGUCGAAUCGUUUUAAAGGUUAAAAUAUAUCACAAUAUUUUUCAUAAGUUUAAAAAUUAGUCCUGUGUUUUUAUUUUUAAGAAUUUAAUUUUUUUUAUGUUUUAAAAUUUAAGUUUAAAUUUAAAUUUAUUAUAACAUUGUUUUUAGUUAUAUAUUCAUGAAGUUGAACUAAAUAUAUAUAUUUUUUAAACUUCAAAAUGUCACACUCAAGGGCAAGCUUGGAAAUUUUCUCGAAGGAGUAAAAUUAAAUUGUGUAUUUUUAUGAGUUAAAAUGAAAUUUUAUAAUUUUAAUAGUUUAUAUCUUUAUAAGUUUUAAAAAAUUAAAUCAGAAUUUCUUUACCUUAAAAGGGUAAAAUGUAAUUUUAUCAUUUAUUAAAUUAAAAUAUUGUAAAACUUAAAUAUUCAAAAGCAAAAUUUUAUAUUUUAGAAGGGUCGGGCCCUUACAAGUCCUCGGGUUUCUCCUGUCAUACAUACAACUUUUUUAAAAAGAAAUUAAUAAGGUUAAUGGACUUAAAUUUUAAGAUCUGAAAAAUAGAAAAAUAAUUUUUAAAAAAUAUAAAUAUAAAAACAAAUUUUCAACCAUCGAAUAAAAUUUUUCUAAUUCACAAAACAUGAAUUAUGGAUGUUUUCUUUAUGGAUUUUUGGAUUUUAGUUUAGGUGGCAAUACGUAUAUGUUUUGGUGACUGAUUCAUUGAAACUUAUGGUCCCCAUUUUCCAGGAAAAUCUGGAUCUGGAUAUCUAGUGGUUGUUCCAUGGAUGAUGAUGAUGAUGGGCUCCAUAGAUUCAUUCUGACCGUCUAAUUUAGAAUCUUUCCUGGAAUUUAUUUUCACGGUGGAAAUAAAUUCCCAAUACAUCACCCGUUUUAUAAUUGGCAUAAUAUCGUAUUUAGUUCUCAAUAUUUUCAUUUUUAUCAAUUUAGUCUUUAUUUUUUUUAUUAAAUUUAGUAUUAAUUUAAAAAAAAAUUUUAACCAUUAACCUUUCAAUAAAAGUUGAACUAUUAUUUUUUAAUAAAAACAUUGGCUAAAGUAUUAAAUUUUUAAACAUUACAACUUAUAUACCAAUUCACACGUACUCCAUCCUAUUUUUUCUUGAAUUUUUGACAUCUUGUUUAUAAUUUUUUUUUAAUUUUAAAUUAUUUAUUGAUGUAACAUAUAAGAAAAAUAGUAUCAUGUUAGCAUGAAAUAUGCACAGACUGCUACGUGAGUUGUCAUGCCAACAUUGUUAAAAAAUUAAUGUUUCAAUUAGAAUUCCCGUUAAAAAAACGAUUGAAUUUAUCCUAAGAGAAUAAUGAUCAAAUUGAAAAAAAUAUAAACAUUAAAUGCUAAAUUUGACAUUAUACUUUUAUAAAUUUAUUUAAAUUAGAAAUCAUAUAUAUUUAAUCAAUUAAAAUUAAAAUAAACUCUAUACAAAAAUCAAAAUAUAUUCUAACCAAAACUCACACACCAUAAAAACUUAAAUUUAAAAUAUAUCCUCUUUAAAACCCGCACAUAAAAUUUAAAUUCAGAAAUAUAUAUAUAUAUAAAACACAUUUUCACAUUGGAAGAGCAAGGAAAAAAUGCGAUUUUGAGGUAGAAAGGAAUACGCGUUUGACGGAUAAUGAAAUCUCAAAACUCUUGAUUUUGAUUAUUAGAGUGUUCUAGAACAGUGCAACAUAAAAAUCUAACAAAAGUUUAUUAUAAAAAAUAAUUAUAAUUAUAAUAAAUAAUUAAAUUUUAAUGUCAAAAUUAUAAUAGUUCAAACCCGUUAACGGGGAUGAUGUGUAAUUUCAUAUGUGAAAUAUUUUUAAUGAGAUGUAAUUGAUUACUUAGAUAACUUAAUAAGAUAAUUACAUGUGGAAAAUGAUAAAACAAAUAAAUAAUACAUUAAAAAAGAAAAUAAACGUAAUUAUCUAAAAAAAAAUUAAUUCAGUAGAAAAAUUUCUCAGUAAAAAAACGUAUGAAAGAUUGAAACAUUGAAUUUAUUCAUUAAAUUUGUUAGAAAAAACAGUUAAAAAAAUCAAAGGUUGAUGAUAAAAAAAGAUUCCAAAAUAUAAUUAGAACGUUAAUGACCAAAUUUAUCAUUAAGUCAUAAAAUUUUUUAUUGUAAUUUUGAGAAAAAGAGCUCUGAACUCGUAAUCAAAAGUUUCUAAGUCAUUUAAUAUGUGAAACUAUGAUUAUACAAAAACAAAUUUUCUUAUGUUCCCAAUUUAAAAAUUUUGCAUCAACACACUCAUACAAUCUUAAUAAAUCAUUAUAAAUUUAGUAAUCAUACAUAAAUGUAAAAAAGAAAAUAUAUUUUUUUAAUUUAAAAAUCUUUAAGUAUUUUUAACAUUUUUCGUUAAAAUUUUGCAUCAUCACACUCAUACAAUCGUAAUAAAUCAUUAUAACUUUACUAAUCAAACAUGAAUAUAAGAAAAUUUAUUUGAAUAGACUUUCACAAAUAUCUAUACAUAUAUAUAAGGUGUCAAGGGUCACUUAUUUGAACUAAAACUAACAGUGUGUUUGGUUCAGUGUAUUAGCUAAUCCAUUACGCCCUGAUUACGCGCCUAUUACAUUACGCUCCUAUUCCGGCGUUUGGUUCACUGUAAUAGGUAUUACGCGCGUAAUACAAUCCCGACCUAAUCCCCAAAUUCCCUGCUUUUCUAAUCCCUUCUCAAAUCGCGUAUUACACAUUACGUCCGGCUUCCCUUCCCAACUCUCUGUUUUACCCUCCCUCCCUACCCGACCCUCUCCUCUUCUGUCCUCAUAAUUUCUCCUCGUCUGCCUUUAUCGAUUUUCUCUGUCGAUCGUUUUUUCCCUUUCAUUUGUUGCAGCACGUUUGAAAGCCACUGCUUCAUUAGGUUCUCUCGAUCUUGGCGUGAGGUAUGGAUGAACUUUUCAUUUUAGUUUUCUGUCUUUGCCUUGGAUUGUGGGUGCUUUGCAUGCUGAUUUGCUUGUCUUUUCUGAAGCAUGAUUAGAGAGGGUUAUAAAUCAUCAUCUUCAUUGCAUGAGAAGCAUCGGUUGUUUAUUUCUGAUAGUUGAAUCGAUUGUUUAUUUUAAAAAAAAAUUUAAUUGAAUAAUCAUGAUAAAGUUGGAGAUAUUAUGAGCAGUAAUAUGUAUAUAUUGGGCUGAUAAUAGGAUGUGAGUUAUGAAAUCUGUUCUAUCGAAAUAAUUUCUGUUUAAAAGAAAAUCCGACACCCCCACCCUUAAGAAAUUGUGCAGUGCGGUGCUUCUCUACUGUUAAAUACAAUAAAAAUGCAUUUCUCCAUCCCCAGUCUUUUUCCUUCUCAAUAAACCCCAGCUCUAAGGAAAACUUUGGUCUUACCUAUCUGCCAUGCAAGUUGUGUUAAACAAAGAGUAGUAAACAAAUUACAAACCCACUGAUAAAUGAACACUGAUUGUUGUGUAUGAAUGAUCACGCAAAAUCUUUAAUCAUGAAGCAUAAAAAAUAUGUUCUAAUAACAUACUGGCAAAGGUUGUCCAAUGCAGGACUUUCAUUUGAUUUUACGAUAAAGCUGAGAGUAGAUGAUGUUCUAAUAUCUGAUCUAUGAUUUGAAUGUUGUUUUCAUUCUUUCAUGCUAUUCGAGCAAGUAUUGUUCUCAAUUUGACGGCUUACUAUCUUUAAAUGCUUGGAUCUUGUGCACAUCUUGUAAUGGUCAACUCUUCAUGGACUCAGUCUCACAUCGAGAAGCUUUGGGGUAUUCCUAACUGCAUUAAGCGAGUUUAUCCACCUUGUGAUACUUCAGGACUUUAGGUCCUGUUUCUUGUUAUUCAUCACCAAUCAUAGUGCAUUUUAUAUUUUUUAGUGUCAUUCAUCUGUGAUUUCUUACCAGUUUACAUCUGAAACAGGCACUUCCUUUGGAAAGGUCGGUGGAAACUCCAAAAAUCAUAUCUGUUGCACAAUUUCGUCCCGAGAAGGUGCACAUACUUACAUAGACCUUCAAGCUAAAUUUUUAAUGGUUCCGGUGUUUCAGUUUUGGAACCUUGAUUAGUUCUAGAAACUCUUUACAGUUUGAUUUUUUUUAACUCAGGAGCUGCAGGAGUACAUGGCUGUGAUUUCUUACCAGUUUACAGUUUGCAUUAGUGUUGUAGAGUACAUGGCUGCAGGAGCCAUACCUAUAGGUGAGCUAGCAUGGCAACUGAUAUUAUAAUUUCUGAUUCGAGCUACUUUUGUUUUCCAUUUUAAAAAUGUUUUUAAAAUGAUAUUCAUUUUGCUCGACUCCCCUCAGCUCAUAAUUCUGCUGGCCCGAAAAUGGACAUUGUUUUAGAUGAAGAUGGACACAAACAGGAUUUCUUGCUCAAAAUGUAGAAGAAUAUGCAGAUGCAGUCCUGAAAAUCGUGAAGAUGCCCGAGUCUGAAAGACUCAAGAUAGCUACAACAGCAAGGAGAAGAGCUAGCAGAUUUUCGGAGCAAAGAUUUUACGAUGAUCUCAAAGCCGCAAUCCGACCAAUUAUAUGCGGUUCUUCCUAGUUAUAGGAUUGCAUUAGAAGAUCACAGUGACAUAGAAAACAAUAGUUAUACUUGUUCUUGUUUAUUGGGGUUCUUCACCCUUUCGAUCUAGUCAUUAGAAAAAGCUUAGUUUAGAUUUGUCAACAAAAUAGAUAUACUUAAUACACUAAACCAAAUCCUCAUUCUUUAUUUUAUUUGUUUUAAACUUAGGUUACCUUAAUUAAACUAAUUUUAUAUGUAAUAAUUAAAUUAUAUGUAAUAAUUAUUAUUUUAAAUUAUACAAAUUCAUAAAAUAUAAUUUAUUAGUUAUAAUUAUUUUAAAUUUUAUUAAAUCAUAUAUUUUAAUUAAAAUAUAUUUAAUAUUAAUUAUUUCAAAUUUUCUUUUAUAGUAUCAUAUAUUAUGAUUUGAGUAAAUUCAUAUAAGACUAUUAAUUAUUAAGAAUUUUAUUAAAUUAUAUAUUUUAAUUAUAAUAUAUUUAAUAAUUAUUAUUUUAAUUUAUAUUUUACAGUAUCAUAUAUUAUGAUUUGAGUAAAUUCAUAUAAGAAUAUUAAUUAUUAAGAAUUUUAUUAAAUUAUAUAUUUUAAUUAAAAUAUAUUUAAUAAUAAUUAUGUUUAAAUAUGAUUAAAUUAUUUAUUAUUGAUAUUAAUAAUCUUAUUAAAAUUUAAAUAAAAUAAUUUACCAAAACAAAUUUCUGCUAAUUAUUAAGAAUUUUAUUAAAUUAUAUAUUUUAAUUAAAAUAUAUUAAAUAAUAAUUAUGUUUAAAUAUGAUUAAAUUAUUUAUUUUUGAUAAUAAAUAAUCUUAUUAAAAUUUAAAUAACAAUAACAAUAAUCAUUUACCAAAAUAAAUUUAUGCUAAGGGUAUUCUGGUCAUUUUAGUUUUCUCCAUUAUGUUAUUACACCUUUAUUACAUUCAACCAAACACAGUUUUACUAUUACGCCUCUAUUCCAUUACAUUCAACCAAACAGUUGAUUUGCUAUUAUACAUCUAUUCCAUUACACCUGUAAUCCAAUACACCUCUAAUCCAAUACAGCGAACCAAACGUGCCCUAAAACUUGUCGUAUGUAAAUACAAAGGGUAAUUAAUUAUUAUUACCAUUAGUUUGUAGUUUAGUGUAUGCCGUUGAAGAAGAGAAGCUGGGCACUGUUAACCAUCGUCUACGAAAGCGGGCAAAACCAUGGAUUUUAAUCCGGAAACGGAUUCUCUUUAUCUUCUUUCCCAGAUCACCCCAUCUUCUUUUUAUCAUUUUAGAUUUUGAUCCCACCAUUUUUCUCAUCUUUCUCCACCCUGCCCAAACAUUUCAUCAUCACUACUUUAUCAUUCCCAGCUUACAUGUAUGUAUGUGCUAAAUGCUGAAUUCAUACCUUGAACCUUUUUAAUCUGUCCAUCUUCUACCCUUGACUUUUCCAGGACCUGAGGUUGAUUAAAAAGAAUCAUUACUGGUUAGUUCAAGUUAAUGCAUUCUGGGAUUUCGAGUGUAGUGUCAAAUACGCAUAUGUUGAAUUUGUUUUUAACCAAGUUCAUGUCCUUUUUGAGGAUCUUCUAUAUACCGUUGAAAACAAACAAUAUAAAUGUGUGUAUCAUGAAAGUCUAAUAAUUAAAUUGUAUUUUAUUCCUUUUAUUUAAAAUUGGAUUAAAUCAAAUAAUAAACUAGAAUUUUUUUUGUUAAAAAAUAAUUAUUUUUACUAUUAAAAACUGGUGUUGCUGACAGAAUAAUUUAACACCAUGCGUAACUCAUUCUGACGUGUAGGAAUUAAUUUUGUAAUAGUAGAAAUAAAUGAAAUGUUUAACAGAAAGACCUAUUUACUCUCUGCGUGCCAAAUCAAUUUACCCAUUUUUUGAAUAAAAAUAAAAACUGACUUUUACUCUCUCUAAUUAUACACAUAUAUAAAAGAUUAAAUGCUUUAGGAAAAAUUAUGAGCCCAGUUACUAUCAUUAUGCCAUUUCCAAGGUUUCAGCUGAGUACCUCAACUAAAUUGUCCAAUCGCCUUCUCAUCCUUCUUUGUAUAAAGCCUCUGGUGCACUGUUGAACACAAAUUGCAAAUAUUAUAAUUCCAAAUAUGAAAACAAAAAACAUAAAGCAAUAUUUAGUCUCUCAAGCCUUAAUUUUUUUAUUCACAUUAGUCUUGAAACUUUGUAUUUUUUUCUAAUUUGGUCCUUAACUUAGACUCCUCACUCAUCACCUAAAAUUUUUUAAAAAUUAUAUAACAUCCCAAAAAAAAUAUAAAGAAGUUCAAAUAUUUUUAAAAAAGUUUUCAAGUGAUAACAUCAGUACAAUCUCAUUCCUUGACAAAUUCCAAAUCUAGGACCAAAUUGGAAAAAAAAACUUAUGAAUUUCAAGACUAAUAUGGAUAAAAAAAAAUUAAGGAUCAAGAUGAAAAAAGUUAUCAAAUUUAAGAACUAAAUGUUAGUUUAUCCGGAAAGAAAAGAAAAAUUAAGAUGAGAAGGGCGGGGAAAGCUAAAAUCAAGAAAGAAAUGUGUUCACCUUUACAUGGUGUUUAACAUAGGCAUAGAAAUUUAGUAGACUCCACACAGUCUUGUCUAGUCUCUUACCUUCAACAUGGUGUGAAGAUAUAUCUGUCAAACAAAAUUGUCAUCUAAACAUGUUACUCGAAUAUGGUUGCAAGUGUCAGAUUGAAAUGUUAUUUAAAAUUAACCUAUACUAAUGUUAUUCGGAUUAGAGUCAGUGUGAAAUGUAAAUAUUUUCAAGUUCUUUUUUUACCUAUAUGUAGAGAAUUUUGGGAGAAUCAUAUCUAUGUAUUCAUGUAUGAAAUGAAUAUACAUUAAUUAUGAAUAUUUAAAAGAAUGGGUAAAGUAAUAUUUAGUCCUUAAAGUUGGCAAUUUUUCUCAUCUUGGUCCCUGAAUUUUUUUAUCCUUAUUAAUCUUGAAACUUGACAGUUUUUUUUUCAAUUUAGUUAUUGAACUUGAAUUUUGUUAAUGUAUGAUGACAUAGCACUAUGAGAUUAUGCCACGUCAUCACUUGAAUUUUUUCAAAUAAUUUUUUUGGUAUUCUUUUAGAUUUUAUAUAAAAUUUUAAAAUUUUAGGUGAUGACGUAACACAUUUUUACCUUUAAAUCCAAGUUCAAGGAUUAAAUUGAAAAAAAUUAUCAAAUUCUAAGAUUAAUGUAGACCAAAAAAAAUUUAGAGACCAAAUUGAAAAAAUACUAAGAUCAGAUAUUAAAGGUCACUUUAUCCCUACAAAAAAGAGUAUUUAGACAAUAUAAUGUACCAAACGAGACAAAUCCUCCAUUAGUGCUCAAAUCUUCAAAAGAUUCUCCUCUAAGUUCUAGAGGUGGAAUAGGAGACCAGUUGCAUGGAGGUACUUUAGCCCACUUUUUUAAACUCACCACAUCCAUAAGCUCCUAUCAAGGCAACAAAUAUGGAACCAAAAUAAAUCAGAUUAUUUUUUGCAGCUAUUGUAACAAUGAGUUUAAUUAUAUAAUGCCAGAAAUAACCAUGAAGGCUACUAUAUUAGGAGUUGGAUUGUAUUUUGCUCCCUCUACAAAAAAAGAGAGCCAAUUAGCAAAUUGAUUAUUCUGUUAAAAAGUUCUAUCCAUUUUUACUGUUAAAAAUUGGCCCCUGAAUGUCAAAAUGAGGUGAUACACAUGGCAUGCCACGUGUAAUUGUCUAGUUAUUCUAUCGGCUACGCCAGUUUUUAACGGUAAAAUUGGAUAAAAUUUUUAACAAAAAGGACUAGUUUGCUCUUUGAUGUAACGUACAAGAACUAAUUUGCCAAUUUUUUUAGUAAAGGGGGCAAAAUGCAAUAUGAGUCAUAGAUAGGGGCCUCCAUGGUAAUUUUUACCCCAGAAACAGUGUUGUGUUCUUAAACAGAAAACCUGAAAGAAGGAUGUUGCAAUGAUCACAUCUGAGUUAUCUUUGAAUCUCAUGGGAAACACUGCUACUAUCUUUUGAGGCUGCCAAAAAGGUUGUCAUUCGUUAACAAAAAUGCCGGACACACCCGUUUUCGCGACAUUCACACCCGAGCUCCGAGUAACAUAGACAGACAACAUGCUAGAAAUUGAAGGAUAUGAUAUUGUAUAAUAUAAAUGUCAGACACAUGAUGCAUUAUACAGAGUUUUUCAAUGGAAUCUAAGCCUUUGUUGAUCCUAAAUCAUUGCAAAUUGAGAAAAAAAAUUACCUGUCUGAUGACAUAGAAAGGCUCUUUGGGAUGAUAAAUAAGUUUGAUUGGUUUAUACAUCGCUUGAGAUGAAUCCCAAGAAUUCACAUUUUGCAACAUUUCUUUCAGCUGUGAACUUAGUAUUACAGCUUGGACCGAGGAAACUUCAGUGAUUAUCUUCAGAGAUUCUGUACAAAUGAAAUACAUACAUACAUACAUACAUACAUACAUACAUACAUACAUACAUACAUACAUACAUACAUACAUGUAAGUAUUUAGUUAUAAUAAGCACUGAAAUUUGAUGGAAUUAUUAUUGCAGUGAAUUAGAUAGCCAUGUUUAUCUCUUAUAUGCCUUCAAUUGAAAACAUUCAAGCAAAGACUUGUUAAAUGGUCUAAUUACACUUUUAGCAUCUCCUAAACCUUAAUAAUUCAAUUUAAUCCAUUUUAGCUCCUUUAUGUAUAUAGUUAUAAUAAGCCCUGAAAUUUCUUGGAAAGUAUUACUAUUGCAGUGAAUGGAUAGCCAUGUUUAGCUAUUACAUGCCUUCAAUUCAAUACAUUCAAUCAAAGACUAGUUAGAUGGUCCAAUUGCACUUUUAGCCACUCCUAAACCUUAAUAAUUCAAUUUGAUCCCUUUUAGCUCCUUUAUUAAAUGGAAAAUUGUAGUUUUGGCUAUUAAAAACUAAUAAUUCAGCUUAAGCUAUUUUAGCUUUGAUCCAAAAAAUUUCUAAUUUUAUCCUGGGCACCACCAGAAACUUCCGGCUUCGUCCCUAAUGCCAUUCUAUCAACAUGUAUAUGAAUAUGUAACCUUCUAAGGAUAUUCCAAAUAAGUAGAAAAUUUUAGGGGGAAAAGAAAAAAUCAUUGAGAUAAAGGGUAUUUAUUUAACAAACCUUUGUUAUGUGGGAGCUUGGAAAAAUCAAGUCUUAGAGUAAGCUGGUAUCCAUCAUUUGCAGGCUCUACAAUGUGAAGAACAUCAGUGGAGAUUUGCCUUACCAUUUUCAGGGUAAAUGGUGAUAACCCAUAUGAAAGAAACACUCCUUGGGACAGGAAUGGAGUCGAUAUCGACAAGUAGGUAACUUGUGGUUCAGAUACUGAAGACUGUAAAAGAAAAAACAGAAAUGAAGAAAUUAGAAUGAUCCAUUAGAAAAUAUAGAUUAAACCUAUUGUAUAGUAUAAGACUAGCGAUUGAAUUUAAUUAAACGGAUUUAACUACUAUAGUAUAGGUUAAAAUUCAGACAAAAAAUAAUAAAAGAACAAAAAAAAAACAGCUAACAAUGGCUUAGAAGUUAGAACUCAUAUAAGUAGGAAAAAAUUACCUUUAUAUGAUAUUCAACAGAUCCAAAUUCAUACAAGUGAUAAUCAACCUCUAUUGGCUUUUCUGCACUGCAAUGACAACAGGAUUAAUACGAAUACAGUAACGAAAAAUGUUCAACACAAACAUUUAUACGAACACAUGGAUUGCAUUGUGGAUUGAAUGUUUCAACAUAGAAAAACAAUGGCUUACUUGUAUAUUCUGAGAAGUAUCUCCUUCAAAGCUGGUGAAGCUCUCUCAAAGCUUGCCAUGUUUACUGUGUUAAGCUUUCAACGAUGGCGGUUUCUCUGAAACUGAAAUAUAUAUAAAUGAAUUUUGAAGAAAACAAAAUGAUUUGUUUUUUGAGUGGAAUGCAAGUUGAAUGGUUGCAAUCAUAAUUAGCAACCUCUGAAGCAAUCACCCCACUUUCUCUCUUUACGAAUUAACUUAUUUGUAGAGUAAGCCAAAAUCGAUCACUUGUCACCUAUCAUCAUUUUUUUUAUUCUAAAUUUCUUCUUUGAUCAGUUUCCACCAUGAAAAGACAAAUAUCCCUUCAUCAUGUUUUCGUUGAAAUUUGUUCAAUUUUUGUAAAUUUGUACUAAAACUAAUCAUUGGGUUUAAUUGAAUUUCUCAUUCCAUUAAUAAAUUAAUUUAAUGAAGAUGGAAUUUCACUUCAGAUCUCAUUAACAACAAUAUUUAGGUUGAAUCAUAAUUUUUUAAAAUGUAUUCCCAUAAUUGGAAAAAAAAAUAACCCACUAAAUUAAAAUAGAGAAAUUAAAUUGAAAAUGUAUGAAGAAUACAAAAGUUUAAAUCAUAUCUUAAUCAAAUAUUUAUUUACAUCAUACUUAUUAUUAAGCAACAAAUCACCCUGUCCGGUUUAGCUAGAUGAAAUCAAUUUACCUUAAAAAUGCAACUGUACUGGUCAACGAAGUUGAGAUUGUACCGGUGAGCGUAUUGUUUUUGUUUUAGUAUUGUGCAUACUAAUAUUAGUAUGUUUAGGUGUACCAUUUCAAGUUUAUUAAUAUAUUUUUAAAUAUUUUCAUAUAUUAAACGUACAUAUAUCUCAAUUAUGUACAUAUAAAUAUAUUUAUAUAAAAUAUUAAUUAUUAAUUAUGUUAAGUAACUUGAUUAUAUUUUAAUUUUAAAUAAAAUUACAAAAAUAAAAAUAUAAAAAAAUAGUUUAAAUAUUAAAAUCUUAUUCCAACUGGUAUGGAAUAAAUGGAUAUGAGAUAUAUAGAUGAAAAUUUAGAAAAAGAUAAAAAUUUCAAUUUAUUAUCAGAACGGAAUAUUUCGUUGAAACGCAUGUGUUUAAUCUUAAAAAGUAACAUUUAAAUUUUAUUCAAAAUGGGAGUGGAUGUGUAUAUUUUACCAACUUUAUUAUAGUCCAAGUUACCAACCACCUAAUAAUAUUCUUUUCAAUCAAAUCAUCUAAUUGACUAAACUCGUCUAUUUGUAUGAGAUUUUAUGUAUUUAUAGCAUUUUAAGAAUAUUUUAUAUUUAUAUAAAAAAUUAUUAAAUAAAUAUAUAUUUCGAAUUUAAUUGUUGUAUAACAUAAUUUUAAUUUCAGCAAUAAAAUGUGGAUAGUUUAUUUUUACUUUUUAGUAGAAUUCUUAGAAUAUAUUUUUAUUUUUAUUGCCAAUCCCAAAAUUGUAACAAUUAUUUAUAAAUAAUUAUAUUUAUUAGCUACCCAAGUUUUAAAAUACUUUUAUUCAGCUUGCUCAGAAAUCAAUCCCAAAGUGUCUCGUUACACCAUAGUUCAACAAGUACAAAGCAAAUGGUGCAUGCUUCGUUAAGGUACUGAAGGGGGCCUUUUGUAUGGAUUGCCAAGUGCAGCAACAUUUCCAGGGCGAGAAAAUACAACCUACAAACAUGUCAUAAAAAAUCCUCCAGUGUUGUCAUUGUUUUCCCGGAAAAAUAAAUUCAGAGUACCAGGGGGAAAAAAAAGAAAAUUCACCUGGUAAUUUCCAAGUGUAUUUGACUUGAAACCAGCUGCACAAUAAUCAAAAUAAUAUUCCCAUGUUCGGAUGAACUUCUCGUUGAAUCCCAAUGACAUGAUUUUGCUAUCAACAAUGAAAUCAAAAUGCAAAAUUUCGUAAUAAGUUACUUAAUAACGAUAUUAAACUCUUUAUUCUUCUUAAAAUAUUAUUCUAAAUACAUAUUGAGACAUGAAUAUGAGUAUAUUCUACCAAAUUAUAAGAAGAAUAUAGGAAAAAUGAGUAUAUCCAUAUCAUAUGCAUAUAUCUAAUCCUAGAAAUUCUCGGAUUUUUCAGUUUCAUAAAAUACUGUUUCACGCAAAGGUAUUUGAACCAUGGCGGAUGGCAAAGGGGGCAAGCAGUGCCUUGGCCCCACAAAAAAGUAAAUUUAUCAUUUAACCCUUUAGAGUUUUAUGCAAUUACAUAUUAGUAAAAUAAUAAAAUUGCAUUUUAACUUUUCCAUGAUUCAUCGCCUCACUAAAAUUAAUUUUCUUACUUCGUCCCUGUUCAAAUAUGGGUGCGGAAAUCAUAGAAAACAGUAGCAAGUAUAUCCGUAUCGGUAUCGUAAGGCAUACCUUUGAUUUUCCAAGAAGUUCCUUCUCCAAUAUCUAAGUGUUUGGUAGUAAUGAAGCCCAAUGUUUUCAACAUGCUCCACACUACACAUUUUUACAAAUUAAUUUUUCAAGAUUAAAAAAUAAUAAUUGCAUGAUAUAAACAAUAAACGACUAUGUUUAUAUAGAGAAAUUUUGUUAGGGCAAAUUUCACCAAAAGUCACCAAACUAUUAGUAAAUUUAUAUUUAAGUCACUCAACUUCAAAAAGUUACGAAAUAGUCACUAAACUAUUCAAAAGUUUUCAUUUAAGUCACCGAGCUAUUCGAAAGUUUCAAAUAGUUUAGUGACCAUUUUGUAACUUUUUGAAGUUAAGUAACCAAAAUGUAAACUUACUAAUAAUGUAAUGACUUUAAGUGUAGUUUGCCCAGAUUUUUAUACCAUAGUCUUGAAGUAGCACUCAUGGCUGAUGUUAUCCUAGUGAAUGAUGGUAAGCAUCCACCAGGGAAGAUGUAUUCCUUGAUGAAAUCGGAGCUCCGUCGGUACCCAUUGUAGCGUUCUUCCGGUAUUGAUAUGAACUGUGGAAACAUGAACGCACCACAAGCAUUUAACAAACAGUCUGAAAAUGUUUCAAGUCACAAAUUUACAAUUACUUGUAAAACAAAAAGUCCAUCUUCUGCCAAAACUGAUUCACAGCAACCAAAGAAUUCAUCCAUGUAUUCAUGGCCAACAGCUUCUAUCAUCUCACUGCAAAGGCCAUAUAUAAUUCCGGUCUUAGUUUCCAGUUUUUUUUCUAGAAUAUCCGUGUCUGAUUCACUUAUCCAACAUAUAUUGAGAUAUUGGUAUGGGGUAUGGUAAAACUUCGAAAAUGUUUCAUAUCAUCCGACACUGACAUUUAAGUUCGAGUAACAUAAGUAAAAAACUGGUUGCUAAAGAACUUACCAAGAUAUAAUUCUGUCAUACUUGUAGGUGCUAGGUAGUUGUCGAUAGUCACAGAGUUGAAAUGUUAUAUUAUCCUGGCAGCAAAGUUAGAACAUUAUGAAUUUCAAUCCAAAAAAAAGCUAACUUUUACAGUUAAAUGAAAACUGUUUUGGAUAAUGGUUCGUAGAUUUGUAACAUUUAAAGUUGUUUCUUGAAAAAAUUGUGGAAGAGAAGGGGAAGAAGGGCUUUCCGUUUCGAUUGGUGCAGGUGAUGUGAACAAAGGAGGCAAUAUAUAGCAAUAGUUUUAAUAGCCUAGUGCCUUGAAUGAAAAUUUUUAAAUAGUUUCAGUGACCUUUUUAUAACUUUUUGAAGUUGAUUAACUAAAAUGUAAAUUUAUUAAUAGUUUAGUAACAUUGUAUAAUUUACCUUAAAUUUAGUAAGCAAAUCAACUAUGCUGCAAGGACAACAAGCCUAGAUGUGUUCCCAGCAUUCUCCAUAAUGGCAUUGCCAGGCAAUUUGCUGCUUAUCAUUUUGACAAUAGUUUACUAAUGUUGCUCCGACUCUACGCAUUUCUUAUAUAUAUAUAUACGUGUCUGUGUAUAUAACUAGACUUGAGCAUGGAAAUAUGGUCUUUUAAGGACUCUUCAAAUACAUGGAAAUUUUUGAGAAAAAAGAAUUGAACAUGUCCGUAUCAGACACAAAUUUAGUUUAAUACUCACAGUCGGGACUGAAUAAUUUUUGUUAUUUACAAAAAUUUGUAGAUUAUAGAUAGAUACCUGAAGUCCAGCUUCCUUAACUCUCAUCUCUGCAAAUUUUAGUUGCUCCUUGGAUAGAGUAAUACCAGUAUAUUUACAUCCGGUUCGUUUGACAACCUCAAUGGCUAAGCUUCCCCAACCACAUCCAAUCUCAAGAAUUUCAUGGUUACCAUCAAUUCUUGCCUGGAUCAUUGAAAAGAAAAUUUGAUGAAAAAUAUUAGGGUAUGGUUUAAAAGUUCCAAAAUACGAUUAAAAACAACCACUAGAGCAGUCUGGACUUACUUUUUCAAUCAGAAGAGAUAUCUUUCUCUGUUGUGCAUCCUUCAAAGCUUCAUCUUCAGACUAUAUAAGAUCAAAAAUAGUUGCCCAACAAUCUUAUUUAAUGAAUAAUAACACAAAAUUCCAAGUGAUUAAGCUUAUUCUUUGUUUAAUGAUGGUAAGUCUAACCUUAAACACUGCACAUGAAUAUGUCAUUGUUUCAUCCAAGAAUAGAGCAUAUAGGUCAUUACUCUACAGAACAAAACCAAAGAACAAUUAUAAGCAUUAGGAAUAUCUCUCGAUAAGCUGUAAAUUAUCAUCAAAAAAUAAAGAGAAAUUAUAAACACUUAUUUAUUUCAUUCAACUCCAUAGGUAUACUUUUCAUCUACUUACAAAAAUAGGUGUGUAUGUACGUAUAUAUAAACCAAGCAUAAUACAUGUUUUAUACUUGUAUAUACACAUAGAACGGCAUUUUUGUUUCUCGAUCGUACCAGGUCGUAAUGACGAGAAAUGUUCCUACGAGCUUGUGUUAGAGUGUUUUGUCGUAAGACAUGCUUGAAGAAAUACUUUGCCGAUGUUAAACCUGCUGUAAACAACAAUGGCGUCCACCAACCCCUAAACCACAGAAGUUGGAUGCUAAAUCAAUUAGAUUUAGGAGAAGCAUAUAUAUAUAUAGAUAGAGACAUACACUAUAUUCCUGUGGUUUACAAGAGACAGUAUACCUCUUCUUACUCAGUUUUGAGUUGGAAGAAAUCAAAUCUCUAUUGGCAAUGAGAAUCUGCAAUCAACAAAGCAAAUGUUGUAAAAGUAUAUUCCAGUAGGUAUAGCUUAUUGUUAUUAUCUUGUAAAUUUUCUUACCAUGAUGAGAUUUAAAAGACCAUCAUUUUUAUCAACAAAAGUAAAGUCUCCAUUGAUAUAUGCAUCUGCAAGGCCUAAAUCUGCCUCUGUCAUAACCUGACAAAUCAAUUUAAGUGCUCAUCAAUGGCUGAAUAUACAUAGUUUGACAUAAUAAUGUAUGACCUUGAUUCCGAAGUAUUUACCUUCCAAUAAAAAUGUGGAUAGUGAACUCUAAUAACAGUUUUUAGAUUACACUUUUUGCUAGUUCCCUCAAAGGUAAACAUUGUGCCACCUUCCUCCAACAAGCUGUUCAUGGAAAAAGUAUAAAGAUAUUUUAAUUACAAUUAUGAAAUCUCAAAUCGAUGUCCAUGGUUAAACAAAUAAAAGAAAUAUGAAGUGCAUUGGAGAAGCUAGACUGCCAUUACAUAUAUUGAUAUAAAUAAUAAAUAUCUAAACAUAAAUAGUUUGCUCAUAUUGACUGAUGAAAUGUGAACAAGUUAGCCCUUGAAAUCUAGAGUAGAACCCAUGUUGUUGAGCAUCAAAACAUGGAAUGAUCUCAUAAUUCUUGGACAAGUAUUUGUAUCAUUAGAACAGUUAACAACCAGCAGAAGUGAGAAAGAAUGCAUAAGAACAUAUACGAACUCACAUCACACAGCCGGUUGAUAUGAAAUGACUGAGGAAUCGAGUAACAAAAGAGCGAGCCCCUGUUUCCAUCAGAGAGGGUACCAUUUGUUUUGGAUUGCUCAGAACAGAAUAACUUUUUCCCAGCACACCAUUUGCAGCAGACAUCCCGGCCUAGAAAGAAGUGAACCUCAAGAAUGAAAUUCAUUCUACUAUAUGAAUUGUUUUGAAAAAAGUAAAAACCUUGAUGUAAAAUAGGUUGGGAAACAAUUUAAUCAUAUGGGAUGAAUUAGUUUGAUAACAGUUAAGAUGCAUACUAAAAGAAGCACAUUUUACAGCUAACCGAGUUGUAAAUAGUUGGAACCUUUAAUCCAUCUUCAUGAAAGCCAUAGCCUGAAAGAAAAAUGACUUUAGUUACCAUAAUGAAUCACUGGAAACUAAGUUACGGCAUACAUCUUUUGAAUGGAAACAUGCAUCAAAUCACCAUACAAUAAAUUCUCAGAGACAAAAACAAUGAGAAAAAGCAUGCUUAUCAUAAAAUAUUUCUAAAUUUCCUACAUGUCAGACAACCAACAAAAGACCAUGCAUUGCUGGCUGCUAAGUGCCAAAAAGGGCACUUUAGCUCAAAUGCAUACUCUACAUAUAUAACAUGAAAAGGAAGUUUGAAAGCUAUAACAUGAUUAACAAAACGAAGACCGUCUGCCGAGGGUCUUUUAUGACCAAAUCUGCUCACCCUGGUAUGCUCCACAGAACCAAAUCCCUCUCUUCCCUUGAAUCUGAUCAAGCUCAAGUGAAGCUUUUGUUGCAGCAAUAGAUGGUACUGGAUGGCCUGUUCUCCACUUAAACAAAGUGUGUCGUGGAGUAUAAUCUGGAUUGAGCGUUACAAGAAACGGUAGGCUUGUCUCUCCAAGAUUCUGCAGUAUCAUACAAUGUAGACAAUCUUAGACAAUUUAAACAGCAAUAAUUGCUACUCUAAAGUUAAUAGGGUUAGAAUCCAAUUUCAAGAAGUAAUCCCACUUGCAAUAUCCUAAUAUCAUACUUUUGGUGGAAGAUCUAACACAGUCCUCCUGGUCAUGGUGAGACUCAACAUAUUUCAAACCAAAAACAUAGGAGACUGUAUGAGAACUGUGAUUAAACAUUAUAUAUUUCAAACCAAUAGCUGCCGGCCAUGACACCGAGUUUAAUAUAUAGCAAAGAGAACAUAUUACCUACCUGAAGCACAUUAAGCCAGUAUGUUAAGCAUACUUUCUUGUCAGUACUUCCAAGAAAAUUCCAUGCACUCCAUGCUGCAGGAUUUUUCGGCAUGAAAGUUGUGUCAUGAUGAAGAAAAAUAUCACUGCCAAUGAAGAAUCAUAAAAGAUUGUGAAAAUUGACUUGAGUAUUCAUCCUAGAUGAGAGAUACAUAGAACCAGUGACUAUCUAUCAAAUAUUCAAAUACUUCAAUAGGGUUAUCUCUGUCAUGGUGAAACGUUAAUCCGUAUGAGAGAUGCAUUGCAGAAGACAGGUACCUAUAGACAUAUUGGAAAGCACCAAGUACUCUCAAUUCAUCAUAUGUUACUUGGCUCCCUAACAACCUCAAAGCAUCUGGUGCAUGAAUAGCCAGUAUGCAACCUUGAAAUGAUUCUUGAGACUCAUCUCCGCAUAAUACGGUGCAACCUGUGGCAAACAUGUUAUAAUUACUAAUGGAACCAUAAAAAGUUUCUGACAUGAGGAAAGUCUCAACAUAUACUCCGCAUCCACCAUGUUUGAAUGGUUUCAAGAAAUAGUUGUUUCAGCAGAUUGAGGAACAGAAAUAAAGUUACUAUUGAUCAUCUUCAAAGCCUCAACUUAAACAUGUUUGAUUCACAUAUAGAAAUACUUAGUCCUUAUAUAUUUCCUCUAGAUACUUGAUUAUUAUGCUUGAUUGUGUUCAAUACAAUGAAACACAAGACCAUGUUGCUAUAAGUAUGUUACCAAUAAACUUUAGCUGAACAUGUAACCGGCUUUCUGAAUAAAUCUUGAACGUAUCCGAAACAUAUACUCGAGCAAAACGUUGAAUUCAAAGACUCACCUUCAUCAUCACUCAAAACUGAAUGCACUUCACACCCAGUUCUUAUUAUACAGCCUCUGUUCUCCAGCUCUUCUCUGAUCUGAUGGACAUUUAGCCAAUAACCAAACAUCAAAGCAAGCUUACAUCUAAUGCAUGCAAAUGAAUUCAGAUACUUUGAAGACAAAUCAUCUUAGCAAUAGAUAUGGUGCAAACAGAGAAAACAAACCUUAUUUACGUAUUGGCGCGAACGCCAUCUGACAGUCAUCCACUGUGGCCGUCCAAAAAGCUAUAUAAAGAAAACCAAAGUAUCAGAAAUUCCUCAUAGAGACAUCAAACAGAUUCUCACAAAUACUCAGAUUCUUACAUACCUGAAGUAAAUGAUGGUUUUGACAAAACGAAAGAAUUGAAAAAGCAGAAAAUUCCAUAAUUCUUUCAGUAGGACUAGACCAUAUCAAACCACAUAUCGGUACCUAGAGACAAUAUACCAACACUGUCAUUGCUAUUUUACUGCUACAGUGACUUAUUAUCAAACAGGUAGACUUCAACAUAAAGACAGCCUCUGAGUCUCACCAGAUAAGCCUUUAGAAACAAUUCGGAGUAACCCCGCGAGUCAACAAACUGUCCCAACGUUUCAUUGCGGUCGAAAUCCGGGUUGUUUUCAAGAACUUUGAGAUAACUGCAAAAAUGGGAGGUGAAGAUAAUCAAUAUAUCACAAAGUUAUGAUCCAGCAAUGAAUUUAUAUAUAUAUAUAUAGAGAGACACAUUUUUAAUUGCUGACCUAAUAACAUCAUUCUUGAACUUGAUAAUUUCUCUAAUCAUUUGCCAAAAGUAAGGAUUAAAGAGGUUCCUUUUCUGUACAAACAAGCUGGAAAUGCCAUUACGGCUGCCCCAUUCAAUGCCAUUGCCAUGAUUUAAGCUCACUGAGAAUGACAUAUCAGAUGGUUCCAUGUCAACUCCAAGUCUCUCAAACAAUUCCAUCAUAUUUGGAUAUGUUACCUGCUAAAAAUAUAAAUUUCAGCACAUUAAAACACAUUGCGUUAUACAUUAUGAAACGAUGUCUUAAUUAGUUUUUAUUCUUAUAACACAUUGCCCUUUUCUUUUAUGAAUUUAGUCCCUCCAUCAUGAUUUCAUCAUCAGUUUUUCUUUUGGUUUUUCUUUUGUGUAACUUUUGGAAAUGUGUAUAUAGAGUGUUAGACUAAUAUUUGUUUCAUUAAUUCUGACAACUAAUUUCACAUGCUUUAUAUUUUUUAGACAUAAAAUAUGUGAUAAAUUUAGAGUUGUCCGGAUGACUCAUCCUAAUUUGGGCAGAGUUUGAACAAAGAAUUUUCAUUUACAGGCUAAAUUUCAUGGCUUAGUCUUCUAAUUUUUAUAAAAAUUUGGCGUUGGACAUUAAAAUAUUAACAUGUAAAUAAUUUUUAAAAAUUAAAUCGGUGAUCAAAUCAGUUAAACUGUUCGUUCUCAGUUCAACCGUCAAUUUAAGAAUAAUUAAAUAAAUAACUAAAAAUUAAUUGUAAAAAAAAUAAAAAUUAAUGAUACAAUUCAACCAUCAAUUUUUAUCUAUUUUUUUAAGUUCUUUUUGCUAGUUCAAAAACAAUUUGAUCUCUAAUUGGUUAAAUCAGUCGCACCGAUUCAACCCACUGAUGACCACAAUCAGAAAUUUAUUUAAAAAAAAAAAAACUUACCCGAUUAAAGACCAUGAAACCAAGGUCCGAAUCAACAUCAUGGAAGGUAACAGUAUUGGCAUGGCCACCCAAAUCACCUUCUUUCUCAUACAGCACCACAUUAACACCAGCUUUGACAAGAACAUAGGCUGAUAUCAACCCACUAAUCCCUCCUCCAAUCACUGCUAUUUUCAUUUUUCUUUUUCUUUACAACCCUUCCCUGCAAACUUCAACAGAAUGCAAGUUUAUUAUUAUCCAGAAGAUUGUAAUUGAAGGUCAAAACAUAUCAUUAAUAUUUACAGCAAACAAGACUGUCAAUAAAGUAGAACUUCGAUACAUACUGCUCAAGCAACUGAACCAACUUGGAGAAAUAAACAAUAAAACACUACUCAAUGUGAAGACUAUUUAUCAAGCUUUUGCUUGCCGGUAGAUAAGGCAAAUGGAAAAUCUAUUGAACUGUGAUGUGCUUUUUGCCUUCAAGGGUCAUGUUAUUCAUUCGGUUUUGUGUUAUAUUUAUACAUAUAUAAUUUUGGAUAAAUUACACUGGUGGUCAUUCAACUAUUAGUAUUUUUUCUUAUCACACAACUAUGAAAAGUUUUAAAUUGGCCACUCAACUAUUCAAUUUUGUCUUUUUUUUUGGUCACUAGCUAAUUAAUGGUGGCAGUUUUUAAAAUUGGCAUAAUAACAAAUUUAACCCUCAAAUUGACAUAAUGUAUAAAUGUUGAUAACCAAAACAAAAUUGAAUAGUUGGGUGACCAUUUUGUAAUUUCCCAUAGUUAAGUGACCAAAAAAGAAAAUUACUAAUUGUUGGGUGACCAUUUUAUAACUUUUCAUAGUUGAGCCAUGGGUGACCAAAAAAGAAAUUUAUUAAUAGUUGGGUGAUUAAUAGUAUAGUUUACUCUUUUAUUUUUGUUUGUGGGAUCUUUUGGUACACGAUAGUCCUAUUGAGUUUCGAUUAAAUUUAGAGUUUGAGCUAAAUUGAACAUUUAAACAAGAGGGCAGAACUCUCCUGGUGGUGUUUUAUUUAUCUACGAGACUCAAAUUCGAAACAUUGCUUAAAGGGUAUUGUGCUUCUUCUUACUACUUGACUCAAUAAGCAUUGGUAUGAAUAGAGUUUUUACGUGUGAACUUAUGUCAACCGAGUCUUAAGUGACUUAAAUCCAAUAACACCUAAACUCAAAAAGACUUAAUUCAAACAUGACUUAAACCUAAAAUCACCCGAAUAAGUAACUUGAAAUGCAAUGACUUGAAAAUAUGAUUCAUAAACUCAAAUGACCCAAACAAUCAUCCGAACCAAAAAUUACCUUAACUCGUAAUAACUCAAAAUUAACUGAACACAUAUCGCAAAAUAACUUGAGUCCAAGGCGGUCUAACUCAGAAACCCAAUUAAUAAACUAUAACUUCAACCCAAAGUAGUCCAAACUUAAAAUAAUCAAAUCCAAAAUCACUCAUAAUUUUUAAAGUUUUAAUUAAUUCAUAAAUUAGUAUGGUUCACUCACAAUUUGUAGUGGAUUCUUUGUGUCAAAUUAUAGAGCAAAAAUUUGAAAUUUAAAGUAGACUUUAAGUCCCUAUACAUUUCGUAUAUUUAGAAUUUAGUCUCAUUACUUUUAUUCUCAAUAAUUUAGCCUCUCAAUAAAAAAAAAGUUAAUAUUAUUAACUAUUUGGACUAAUUAUAUAUAACCACAUAAUUUUUUAAUAAAAAAGUUAACGAGAUUAAUUAUUUGGACUAAUUGAUAAUAUUAUAAAAAUGGUACCAAAUUAUGUUAUAAAUUAAAGUGUAGAGAUUAAAUCUCAAAUUUAAACAUAAGAGAAUGACCAAAAUUAAAAUUUAACCUUUUCUAAAAAAAAAAGAAAGCAGCAGCCGCCAAGUAGGAAACGUGGGAAACAUAGAGAUAGAAAUGGAUCUUGUUGUGUUCGAAUCAAAGGAAGAUAAGAUGUUGAAAAAGGCUCUUAGGCUUUCUCUUUUAUCUAUAAAAGGAAUAGACCAACAAGAAAUUUGAAUCGGAAAUAUCGACAGAUUCUUAUGGACUGCAAAUAAAUAUGAAACAAAAAGAAACCUACUGCUCCAAUUUCAUCACUAUCCAAUUUUAAUAUCAAAAUAGUGGGUAUAGUAAUGUUUCAAUGGGUUGGAUGCACUUCACUUUUUCUUUUCUUCAUUUUUAUUCUCUACCAUGGAUUUGAUCGGAAUAAUCUAAUUCAUAUAUACAUAUACAUAUAUAUAUUUGUUGCUUCAAGAGUCGGAAUAUCAUUAUUCUUUUAGAAUUACUCUACUCUAAUGGGAGAGGUAUUAGACUAAUUUUUUAAACUCAAAUUCGACUUAAAAAAUAGAUUUUAUUUUUUUUUAAGUCCGAUCCAAUUUAAAAAAGGUAAAUUUGGACUCAAUCUAAUCUAUUCAUAUUGAAUUUUUCUAAAUUAAUUUUUAAAAAAUAUAAUAACACUAAGAUCCGUUCAAAUAAAAAUUUUCUAACACAUUAAAAAUACAUUAAAAAGUAUUUACCACAAAUAUAAUAAAUGUUUUAUUAUAUUAAAUAUAAUUUUUCAACUUUUAUAUUUUGGAUUGGGUUUGUAGUUGGGUUUAAGAUUUUAGGUAAUGAGUUUAAUUAUUAUUGGAUUAGUGAUUUAAUGUGAAGAUAUAUAAUUAUUAUUUAACAUAUAUAAUUAAGAUAAUUAUUUUUAUAACAUAAUAUAUUCGGGUCAAGUCAAGUUGGAGCCAAAAAAAUCUUGCCCAAAGUUCAACUCAUAUAAAAAAUGAGUCCUAAAAUUUACCCAAAUCUAUUUUUUGAGUCUUGUAUUUUUGUUUAAACUCUCUCAUUCUUUGAUUGGGCCACCGAACCUAGACAGGUGACUCAACCCAUGCGUAGUUAGGGGUGUUUAAAUUUCGGUUAAAACCAAAUUAAUUGACCAAACCAGUCUAAUUCGAUUGGAAGUCGGUUAAUAUUUUUUUGAAAGUUUGUUUAUCGGUUAAUUCGAUUCAAAAUCGGGUAAUUAACCGAACUUAAUAAUUAAUAAGACAAAUUAUAUGUAGUUUUAAUUCGGUUAAUUCUGAUAAAUUGGUCAAAUGAGCAUUAUCAAUUUAUUUUUUUAUAUGUUUUAUACUUGUUUUAACCAAAAAACAUUAUCAAUUAACUGAAAUAUUUCGGUUCGGUUACUUUAUUUUUUAAAAAAAGUUUUAAUUUUGUUAACAAUUAAAGAAUUAAAAAUUAUUUCAAUUAAUACUACUUCAAUUCGAUUAAUCGAACGAUUAACCGUUUGAACACUCCUAUGUGCAAUUCUACUCUAACUCAUUAGAUUAUACAUAUUCAAUUGAAGUUUUAUUCGACAACAAUAACGGACGACAUUGGUAUAUUGAUAUUAAACUAGAGUUAAAUUUUAUAAAUAUAUUUUUUAUCUAACUAAAUAUAUUUAACUGCUAUUAAAAAUUUAAAAAAUUUAAAAAUAUAAAUAUUAAAAUUAAAAUUAGUUAAAUUAAAAAUAUAUUAAAUUUACAAUUUAGUUCUAAUAGCAAAAUUUGACCCACAAACGGAAUUAGAUGAUUGAAACUUGAAAGAGAGCCUCUUAAGUUGUAUUUUUUUUUUCUUAAAGGAAAUAUAUAUAGGUUAUUAUGCCGAGAACCUCCCAUUUUAGUUUUAUAUAUAAAUUAAAAUAUACUAUUUAGUAGAAAUUCAUUAUAAAUUUUAUUAAAAUAAUACGAUUCAAAAACAUAAAUAAUAUUAUUUUUAUUCUUUAGAAUUUUGAUAUUUGUAUUAUGAUAAAAUGUAGAGAUUUUAAUUUAAUUUAUAAAUGUUUUGUCAACCUAUAAAUUUAAAAUAAAGUAUUUUGAAAGUGUUUUCUUUUAAUAUAUAUUGAAACAUGAUUAUAACUUAAUUUCACUGCAUUGCCCAAACUUUGCUUAUUACUUUAAAUACUACCUUAAAGUAUUAUGCUUAUUACUAUAAAAAGUUUAUUUUUAUAAUAAUAUUACCUUCUCAAAAAUUGUUCGCUUAUUUGCCACGAAGGCAUUCAUGACGUACCGUUUGUCCCUAUGAAAUUCGAAAACAACGCAUCAAAUCGUUAUUAUCAACUCAUAUAUAAAAUUUUUAGUACCGGAUCUGAUUCGGUCAAGCCAUUAGUUCAGUAGUUUAAUUGGUCUGAUCGCUUCGAUCGCUUCGUUCGGUUCAAUUAAAUAAAUUAUUAAAAAUUCAUAAAAAUAAAAAAAUUCAGUUCAACCGAUUUUAGUUUAAUUUAACCUAUUUAUACCAAUUUCCAAAUUAACCAAUCUUUAUGCCUUUCUUUGAAUUGGUACUCCAACUAAUUUCUAAUCCAAUUGAUUGGUGCAAUCCAAUUCAAACAAUACUGUACAGUUCAAGAAAAAAUAAACUAAGUAUAUAUUGGUGAAAUUGUAUGCCAAGUCCCUCUUAUUUUAAGGGCUAGAUCAAUUCAGUUCUCUUAUUAUUAAAUAGAUUAAUAGUUACUAUUUAAAAAAUGGCAUGAAAAUUAUUAUUUUCAUUUGAAGUUUAACGUUUUAUUUACAGAGCCAUAAAAUAACUUUUAAAAUAUUAAUUAUGUUAACCAAUAAGUGAUAUUUUUUAAAUAGUAAAUGUUAUUUUUAAUCAAGGACUAACUUAUCGGGUCCAUGUAAGAGAGGACCUGCCAAGUAAAUUCACCUAUAUGUUUUUUACAGUGACAUAAAAAGAGAUGAUUAUUAGAGGCUGGAAUAGAAGUAAAUUUGACUCGUAAAGAAAAUAUUGCUAUCUUAAGUAUAAUUUAGUACCAGCCUAUCAUUCUUCGUUUUCAUUGCAUUACAACGUUGGCAAACCUCCAUAAAACCAGUCAAUCAUUCAUGGCCGACAAUAUCUCUGUUUUUUGUUUUUGUUCUUUUUUUGUUGUCUCUUUCCUUAUAAAAACUAAAUCUAAACCCAUUUUCCCAUCCGUUCGACGGGAUCCUUUCAAUUCAUUUUCCAUUGAUUGUCGACUUUCCCCCAUCCUCAUUCCCCCAACCCUUUCUCAGCCAUGGACCACCGUUCACAGCGGGAGUUGUGCACCGGUCCCCUCCAUGGCGCCACAAACACCAACACCGGCACUUCCCUUCCCACCACCACCACAACCCCAACCCCGGUAUUGGAAGAGUACGAAAUCGACCUGGAAUGGCCUUUCGAAUACCUCGAUGGUCUCGACUGUGACGCCAUCCGUGAAGCAGCUUACGAGAUUUUCUUCACGGCUUGUCGUUCAUCGCCGGGGUUCGGAGGACGGAACACUUCUAUGUCAUCUUCGCAUGAUCACCAUGGGAAUGUUGUGGAUGGAGGAGGGAAUGAAUCGCACGGGUCAGGUUCAAUAAACGGGCGGGUGAAUGGGGUGGUAAUGACCCCGACGAGUAAGGUUAAAAAGGCUUUGGGUUUAAAGAUGUUGAAAAAGUCGCCUUCUCGGAGGAUGUCGUUUAUUCCGACGGGCUAUAAUGGCGGCGGCGGAAUGUCUGGGACGUCGUCGUUUGUUUCUCAAGGACAUUGUAGUAUUAACACCGGUUCUGGCAUUGGAAUGGGGUUUUCUUCGGCGCAGAAUCCCUGGCCACGGCGGCCGUUGACGUCGGCAGAACUUAUGAGGCAACAAAUGAGGGUGACUGAACAAAGUGAUCAUAGGCUUAGGAAGACUCUCACCAGAACCCUCGCGGGCCAAGUACGUAGUAAAAUUUUAAUUUUAAUUUUGGUUAAUUCCACAAUACGUCCCCAAAGCAUCCCAAAUUUCAAAUUAAUCUCUCAAUAUCAUAUUUUUUAGGUCUUUCUGUGACUCUAGCUGUCAGCUUAGGUGUUAGCCAGGAUCAAAUUUUAAUGACGGUGUUUGUUUUUAACAAGUUAGAAGCUAGUUGUGAAGGGCUAAGUGGGGAAUUCAAUAUUGAGAUCAAAAUAAAAUUUUAAACUUUUGGGAGGCCAAAGGUAAAAACUUUUUCUAUAAAACUUGAAUUGAAUACUUAACAACUAGGGGGACAAAAACUGUUAUUAGUCCAUUUAAUUGGCCUACCCGUAGCUACGUUCCUUCUAGUUGUCCAUGAAGUCUUAAACAUGCUCUUUAGAAGCGAGCUAAAAUUUAAACCCCAAGCUUACAAGUAAUAGUGAAUUUGAAAUUCAAUAAGAACGUUUUGAAGCUUGGGACUGAUUUAUAAUCUAAGCGGUAGUUUAGGAUGUUCAGCGCAAUUAACACUUUUCUUUACUGAAUUUAAAAAGGGUUUUUCACAAAUUUAGUCCCUACUAAUUUAUUGAAUUUUGCUUUCAACAGACAGGAAAGAGAUCAGAAACUAUAAUCCUUCCACUAGAGCUUCUUCGGCAUUUAAAACCAUCCGAAUUCAAUGACCCGCACGAGUACCAUGCAUGGCAAAAACGUCAGCUAAAGAUACUAGAAACAGGCCUUAUCCUUUAUCCAUCAAUACCUAUAGACAAAGCCAAUUCUUUCAUGAUCCGUCUCCGCGACAUAAUCCGAGCCGGUGAGUUGAAAGCCAUCGACACCAGCAAGAAUUCCGACAUGAUGCGUACGUUGUGCAACAGCAUCGUGUCUUUAUGUUGGCGGAGCAGCAAUGGCGCUCCCACUACAGUUUGUCAUUGGGCCGACGGGUACCCUCUCAAUGUACACAUCUAUACCGCUCUCCUUAGAUCCAUUUUCAGCACUAGGGACGAGACGUUAGUGUUGGACGAGGUUGAUGAAUUGCUCGAAUUGAUGAAGAAGACGUGGUCUACGUUGGGGUUCAAUAAGCCGAUGCACAACGUGUGUUUUGCUUGGGUGCUUUUUGAGCAAUACGUCGUGACAAACCAAGUGGAACCCGACCUCCUUCGCGCAGCGUUUACUAUGUUGUCGGAGGUGGAGAACGAUGUGAAGAAGUCGAAUCGGGACGAAACGUACAUGAAAAUAUUGUCGUCCAUGUUGGUUGUGAUGCAAAAUUGGGCGGAAAAAAAGUUGCUUAACUACCAUGAGUAUUUCAAUAGAGGAACUAUUGGUGGGAUUGAUAAUCUUUUACCUUUGGGAAUAUUAUCGACCAAGAUUUUGGCCGAAUGCCGUCGGAUCGAAACAGAGGAGGGCAAGAAAGGGGAUGUAAAAGUCUCGGAUUCGUCCGGUAAUCGUAUUGAUCACUACAUUCGAUCUUCCAUGAAGAAUGCUUUUGCAAGGGUGAGUACUUUAACACACAAAUAGGCAAUAUAGGCAAACUAUAUUCUUAUCAUCAAAUAUGCUUAUUUCUUGCCACAGAUCAAUGAUAAUGUGAAAAAUGCUACCAUGGGAGGAAGAGGGGAAGCUUAUGAAAACUUACUUCAAUUGGCUAAAGAAACCGAGGAUUUAGCCGCGCAAGAGAGGGAGUUAUUUAGUCCAAUAUUGAAGAAAUGGCAUACAACUGCGGGCAGUAUUGCAGCCGUGACGCUGCAUCAAUGUUACGGAGAAGUGUUGAAACAACAUUUAGCCGGGACGAAAAUGCUGAACAGUGAGAUCGUCGGGGUGCUACAACGAGCCGCGAAACUCGAAAAAGUCUUGGUUCAAAUGGUGGUUGAAGAUUUCGAUGAGUGCGGCAACGGAGGCAAAGUGAUUAUUAGAGAAAUGAUGCCUUAUGAAGUUGAUACAGUCACAAUAAGGCUAUUGGGACAAUGGAUCGAUGAAAGAUUAAAGAAAGGGAAAAAGUUACUUCUGAGUGCAAAGAAAACAGAAGUAAAUCAAUUUACUUUUUGGAUUCUAAAUCUAUGGUUAAAAAGCAUACUAAUUGGUUGUAAUUUAUGUUGUAGACAUGGAACCCGAAGUCGAAAACCGAGCUGUACGCGCAUUCGGCGGUCGAGUUGAUGGCAUUAAUAAAGGAAACUGUGAAUGAUUUUUUUGAAAUUCCGAUCGGGGUUACUGAGGAUUUGAUUCUUGAUUUAGCCGAAGGUCUAGAGAAAAUCAUUGAAGAAUAUAUUAUCUUUGUAGCAUCAUGUGGUGAGUAACAUUUCAUUGUGCUUCCUUCACGGGUUUUUGAUUUAGGUUUUAGGGUUUUUAUUUGAUUCUUUUUUCAGGUUCCAAGCAGAAUUAUCUUCCAGCACUUCCUCCAUUAACGAGAUGCAACCAAGAUUCGAUGUUUUCGAGGUUUUGGAAAAGGGCUAGUCCAUGCGGGGUUCGUGUCGAGGACAUGCACCAACUUAUGACCACUAAAUACCAACAUCCGUCCCCAUCGACGAGCAUUGGGACGCAAUGCCUUUACGUCCGCCUCAACACAUUGCAUUACUUGAUCACCCACAUCCAUUCCCUCGACAAGACCCUCGCAGUCUCGCCGAGGGUUUUGUCGAAGAGUCGUUUAAGCAACCGUAAGCAGAACGUCACUUCCUUUUCCUACUUCGAACAAGCGAACCAAUCGAUCCAAUCCGCAUGCGAACACGUAUCGGAAGUCGCCGCGUACCGCCUUAUCUUCCUCGACUCGAGCCUCGUCUUUUACGAAAGCCUCUACGCCGGCAGUGUAACCAGCUCAAGACUCCGGCCCACCCUACGAAUCCUCAAAGAAAACCUCACCGUUCUCACCACUAUCCUAACGGACCAAGCACAAGCAUUAGCAAUGAAAGAAGUAAUGAAAGCGUCAUUCGAAGCAUUCCUCAUGGUACUCCUCGCCGGAGUUCCAUCUCGGAUCUUCAACCGGUCCGAUUACGAGAUGAUCGAAGAAGAUUUCGAUAGCUUAAAAAGGGUGUUCUGCGCUAUACCCGAAGAUGUAAUCCAAAAAGAAGCCGAGAAAGCUGAAGGAGUAAUAUCCUUGAUGGGGCAAAGCACCGAACAGUUAAUAGAAGAUUUCAGCAUCGUUACCUGUGAGACCAGUGGAAUAGGGUUCAUCGGCAUAGGUCAAAAAUUACCGAUGCCACCGACGACGGGAAGAUGGAAUAGAUCGGACCCAAACACGAUACUACGAGUAUUGUGCCAUAGAAAUGAUCGAACGGCUAACUUGUUCUUGAAGAAAUCGUUUCAAUUGGCCAAAAGGAACUUGUAAUCAAUGAAAAAUUAUAUAUACAGUGUGAAUAUUUGAAGAACAGGUUGGGUUUUUUUAUUCUCUAGUAAUGGGGUUUUAAUGGAUGUGAUUGUUGAUUUCAAGGAUUUUAGUGGAGAGAAUUAUUGAAGGAAAUGAGGGAUUGUAUAUUGAUUUUCUUAGUUGAGUUAAAUGUUUGUUGGUUGAUAUAUGAAUGAAGAUUGUUGAGUGCUGAAGGCAAAGGGAUGGGAAUUGGGAUAUUUGGGAUUUGAGAAAGCACAAAAGAAAAAUGUGAGCUUCAUGAAUAUAGGAUGGACUAGUUUGGUUAAAAUCUACUCAAUUGUUCUAAUCAUUAAUUUUUUUUAAAUUAUGAAUUUAAUUUUAUUCAAUUAUCGAUUUUUAAAGUUUAAUCCGAUCGAAAAAAUAUGUGAUCCUGAUUUACUUAACAAGCACAAUGUCUAUUGCCCAUUUGGCACCUCAGUUGGUAUUACUCGGGGCCUUCGAUGGAAUUUUGGAACAAACCAUUGCUAGAUUGUUUGCAAACCAGGUUGCUCCCAUGAGCCCAGUCAGGGCAUUCGUGGUCGAAAAGAUUAACCAAUGGGGAUGAGAAACUUGGUUGGUUCCAGGACACCAUAAACAAGAGUCGUUUGGACAAUUAUUAUUGGACACAGGGACAGCUAGGGGCGGCUGGCAGUGACCCGGUAAUUAGUGCUUUUAAUUUUUUUUAAAUUUUAAAUUAACAAAAGUAAAAUUACACUCCAGUCCCUUUAAUAAUAAUAAAUUGAUUUAAUUUUUUGAAAGUUAUAAAGAUAUAUACUUUUAAAAUAGUAAAAUUGUAUCUCCCCUAAAAAAUUUUUCUGACUUCACCCCUCAAUUUGAUAUUAGUAAUUAUGGUUUCAAUUAACCUUGUUUUCUACAUCUUGGUGGUGUUUUGUUUCAAGUAUAGGAAUUCAAUUGAGUAUGAUUGUGUUGAAUCCUCGGAGUUUAGUGAAACAUAGGAAGAUAUCUAACAUGAUCAAGAUCAACGUAGCUUUUCGCUACAUUAUGGCUUCGGCCUCUCUAUUAUUCUAAAAUUUAAAAUUUAAUCAUUAUAUUUUAAUAUGUUGUAAUUUAAUCCUUUUAGGUUUAUAGAUAGGGUUAGGAUGUAGGGAUUGUCCAAAAUGGGCAUCAAUUGAAGACUUAAACCUAAGUUUUUUUUUGUCCCUUAAAUGGUUCAGUCUUGUAAAAUAUAUAGGAGUUAACGAUUAGAGUAAGAUUUACAAACUCGUAAAAAAAAAACAAGAUCAAUUUAACUAAAAUAGAAGUGAAGGGACCAUUUUCGAAAAUUUUAUAAAAUGCAUGGACUAAUUAUAGAAUUUGACCAAAAAUGCUAAAAGAUUCCGGUAAUUUCAUCUUGAAACUUUCCUCACUUCUCCUUCUUUCCAAACACAUAAUCUCAAACACAGGAAAAAAAAUGGACAGCCAAAGUAAACACACUAUCAGCAGCCGCCUGCAAGCCGUAAAGCAAAAAUCUGGCAAAUCCUACAAUCAAAUAGCCGAAGAAACCGGCUUAACCAACGUUUACGUGGCUCAGCUCCUCAAACGCCAGGCUCAGCUCAAGACUGAAACCGCUCCUAAGCUAAGGGCAGCCUUGCCCGAAUUGCCUGAGGAGCUUCUCCAUGAGAUGAUGAAACCACCGUUACGGUCCUAUGAUCCGAACCUUAUCCAAGAACCCACUGUUUACAGGUUCUUCUUCUUACACAAUUCAUGUUAAAUUAUCCAAAAAAGAAUCUUUUUUUUAAAUACCUUUUCUUUUUUGCUUUUUUGCAGGUUGAAUGAGGCAGUGAUGCAUUUUGGUGAGAGCAUAAAGGAGAUUAUCAAUGAAGAGUUUGGUGAUGGGAUGUAAGUUGUUUUUUUUUUUUCAGUGGUUUAUUUUGGGUGUAUUUUUUGGCCAUUCAUUUCUUUGGAUUGUUUAGGGUUUUGAGCUAAUCAGUGAGUAGAAAAUGAAAAAAUUUAGCCUCCGGAACUUGUAACACAAUUUGAAUUUAGAAAUAAAAUCUGGAUUUCUGAUUGUUUUCUUGAGCAAAAAGAUCUGUUUGGGGUGUUUGAGUUUAGGGGUAGAACAGGAAUUAAGAGAGCUUAAGGGAGUUCUAUGUAAAAUUGUUCCGCACAUUUGAAGUGUCUUUUGAGCUCAUAUCCUCAUAUUCAUUGUCAAACACGAGUUAUAUAUGUGUGUGUGUGUGUGUGUGGAGGGUCUUUGGAAUAUCAUAUCCUUGGACUUAUGUUCGCAUAAGUGUCAAGCAUGGAUUUCAGACAAUAGGUGCUUAACAAAAUAUGGAGUCUCGGGGCAUUUUGGGGGGGGUCGAGUUUCAAUUUUCAAGCACGGAGAACUUAAACAAGCUCUGGGUGUCUAAAUGAUUUUAAUUUCCAUAUGUCCAUUCACUAAUUCAUGUUCAUCGUUUUUGUUUAGCAUGUCAGCUAUAGACUUCUACUGCUCUGUUGACAAAGUUAAAGGCGUGGACGGGAAAGAUCGUGUUGUCGUCACAUUUGAUGGAAAGUACUUGCCGUACAGUGAACAGGUUAGUUGCCCUUCGGUUUUCUUUAGUUCAUGAAUGAGAACAUAAAUGAUCAUAUGAAUCUUGAUUGUUUCUUGUUGAUAUGGAAUACUCUUUUUUUGUUGUUGAUUGUGGAUGUAGGAUUCUACUUCAGUUUCUAUAGUUUGUCCCGAUUGAUUCCCGAGUUAGUUUUAACCUUGUGGUCCGAUGUACUUCUAGUUUACCGUUGUUUAAUCAGCCCAUUUUUGAGUUCACCUUAAUAACGGGAGUUGAUCUUAGAACCUUAAGCUUCCUUAAGAAAUGGAUCGUUACCGCUUACCAUGCUAGAACACUGGAAAACUUCUGUCAUAAUUGGUAAAAGAACCAUAGGGAUGAAACCUAUAUUACUCGUUUUUGUUUCUUGAAUGAAACGUGAUCGAUGGUACAAAUCCUGAUUGUUUCUUGUUGAUAUGGAAUACUCGUUUAUGUUGUUGAAGGGUCUUAAGACAACAACUCACGUUGAUCGUAGAUCUAGGAUUCUACUUCAGUUUCUAUAGUUUGUCCAGAUUGAUUUCCGAGUUCAAAUAGUUUACCGUUGUUUAAUCAGCCCCCUUUCGAGUUCACCUUAAUAUCGAGAGUCAAUCAUAGAACGUUAAGAAACGGAUCGUAACCGCUUACCAAAAUUGGUAAAAGAAACUAGCAUUUGCCCCAUAGGGAUGAAACCUAUAUUAUUUGUACUCGGAUAUGACUCUUGGAUACGGUUAUAAUCCAACAUGGAUAUAUUCAAUCAUUUUUUUGUUUUUCAAUGUAUUUGGACGAUCAUCGAAGGGCUAUAUUCCCGUACUCACCUGCAAAUUCCUUUCUAAUGGCAGAAAUCUGAGCAUAUGGUUUCAAGAUUAAGGCUGCAAUGAAAGCUGAUGAACAGCCAUAUCCUGUAACCUUGGAGCUUCUUGUUGAAAGGAAAACAAUAAAACUUGGUUUGUAUAUUCAUUUAUUAUGUUACUCGAACUAUUUAUUUUUCUGUCUCCGAACAUGCUCCGGCAUAUAUCCGGACAUGUAUUGGAUAUACUCGUGUUUGACAUUAAUUUUGGAGUUCAAAUAAACAUGUCACAAGUUUUUCAGUGGCAUUAAAUUAUCAUUUGCAAGUUUUGGGUUUAUUUUCUUUGAACUUUGGUUAUGACAUAUUUUAUGGUAUGAUUUUGAAGUUCUAAUCUCCAAUUCUCAUAGAAAUUAUAGUAGAAAAAGAAUAGGCUUUUUAAUAUUGAGAAAAUUGUACUGUUAAACAAUAAUAAAAAGUUAAUCAAUUUUCCGUAAGCAAACAUUUUAAAAGAUGCUUGAGAAGAUACAAUUGAAUUCAAAUAAAUCCACUGUAUUUCUUUUUUCUUCUAGAAGUGACAUUGAAUUUUUUUCAAUCAAUUUGGUUUCUACUUUUUGUUGGUUAACAUUGGCAAAUUUCCCCAGUUUGGUAAUUUGGUAUUUGAACUUAGAUUUCAUUAAGAUGUGAUGAGAUGUCACUCUCUCAAAAUGUUACUACUUAGAAAUUUUAAUUUUUUUAUAAAAUCUAAAAAUUCUUUAAAACAAUUAAAACUGUUCCGGUGAUGAUGUGACAUAAUGUUAAAUUGUCAUGUCAUCAUAUUUUAACAUAAUCUAAGUUUAAGGAUCAAAUUGAAAAAACUAUCAAGUUUCAAGACUAAUGUUGUAAAAUACCAGAGACCAAGAUGAAAACAAUUGGUAAAUACUAAAUGUUAUUUUAUCCAGAAAAAGAUGAAAUAAUUCAGUAGUUGGGUCUAAUUCGAAGGCCAACUUUUUUCUAUGGAAAAGCCCAAAAUGUUCAAAGAUAAAAUGCCAAAACCUUUCUCAGUCCUUAAAACCCUAAGACUCAUUCCACGACUCAUCAGACGCCUCUCCCACAUCACCAGAUUCAUCACCUUUGCUAAAGUCAUUACCUUUCAAUAGACUUUUUGGUGUUUGGAUGCUGAGAAAAUGUGGGAAAAUGAUGGGUUAUGGUUGGAUUAGGAAAGGAAGAUACUAUCUUGGUUCUUAGAGUUGUUUACUUUUUUGGGUUUGUCCUUUUUUUUCUUAAAGAUUGAUGCUUUAUUAGCAUUGAUUGAUUAUUCAAUAUAUAUAUUCCUUUAAUGGUGGAAUGCCUGUUUUUAUUUUAUACGGUACAUGUUAGUCCAUCUUGACAAAGCCAAAAAGCCUUAAUAGGCAAUGCUUAGUUUUGAAUGCUAAUGGACUUAAAUCAAAUAUCUUUCCUCGCGGUUUUUUUUUUUGUGCUGUACAUUAAGGAGCUAAAAUCAGUGAGGAAGAUACACUAAUAAAUGGCUCAUAGUUCUUGUUUUGAGUGUUUUUACUUGGGGUUCCAUUUAGUCCAUCUUGGCAAAGCUCAAAUGUCUUAUGAACAGUGUUUAGUUUUGAAUGCUAAUGGACUUAAAUCAAAUGCCUUUUUUCACUACUCUCUGUUCUCAUCUUCCAUGGAGUUCAGAUCAGUGGAGAUGACACAUAAGUUUAAAUUUCAUUUACAAUGUAUGUGAAUAUUCAUAUAGAUUUUACACAAUUAUGUAAUGAGUCAAUUUUUUCAUGCUAUGUCCAUCUUGGCAAAGCUACUAGCUUUUAGACUUGGCAAUGUGUAGCUUUGAAUGCUAAUGGACUCACAUUGAAGGUCCUCUCAUUACACUAUUUUUGUGCUUUUCAUCUAUGGAAUUGCAGAGUUAUGGGAGAAGAUACAUGGAUUUUCAUGUUUCAUUAUUUACAUUAUUUGCAUACUUGUUACUUAGCUAUAAACAUGAAGUGAAUGCUAGUUUCAUGCUUUCAUUCAUGGAGUUUUUAGAGUCAUUGAAGAAGAUACAUAAAUUUACAUGUUAUUUAGCUACAAACAUGAAGUGAAUCUUUUUGUUCAUUGGAAGUUUGCUUGUAAGCUCUUUUCUUUGAAUUCUAGUGGACUCACAUUGAAGUCCUUGAUAAGUCGAUAUGCUUAUUUUGAGCAUUCAUUCAUGGAGUUUCAGAAUUAUUGGAGAAGAUACGUAAAAUUACAUUUGAUUUGCAUACUUGUUAGCCACAAACAUCAAGUGAAUCUUUUUGUUCAUUGGAAGUUUGCUUGUAGGCCCUUUUCCCUGAAUUGGCAAUGUGUAGUACUGGACUCGAAUCAAAGUCCUAAAUUUCGAGCUUUCGUUCAUUGGAGAAGAUACACAAACUUGUAAUAUAUGGUGAUUUUUCGAGUUUGAUUCAUAUGUCGUGUUCUAAUCACUUAUGGCAAUGGAUUGUGUAGCUUUGAAUGCUAAUUGACUAACAUUAAGUCGAUUUGCUCUUUCUGAGCUUCCAUUCAUGGAGUUUUCAGAGUUAUUGGAGAUUAUUGAAACAUUAAUUGGACUCUAAAUAUCAUAGACCCUAAUCCUCUCUUGAAUUUGGUUUCACUUUAUACCAUUGAAUGAUCCUAAAAAUGCAAACCAAACAAGAUUUAUGUAUUUUCCACAAAUGUAAAUUAAAGGUCAUAAUGACAAAAUUUAUGCCACCCAACAUCAUAAUUGAAAUAAAGAAAAUAUUUAUUAAUGGUAUUGAAUCUUCAAUUUUCAAUUACAAUAUACCAAAUAUUAACCUAAUUGAUAACAAAAAGGUUUUUUCUUUUCACAAUAUAUAGGGAUGAGAAAUAAUUUUUAAACAAAAAGAGAGGUAAUAAUGGUAGCUUUAAUUUAGGGUAGAUUUUGGAAUUGGUAUCGGUUUAUUGACUUUUUAGUAAUUUAUUACUAAUAUAUAAUGUUUCAACGAAUCAUUCAAAUUAUGCUCUCAUUUUGGACUAAUGACAGCAAUCCAUGCAUCCAUGCAACGUGAGCUUUGUAGUUUAGUGGUGUCCAAUUCCACCACCUCCACCAGCCCCUCCGCCAAAACCACCUCCUGCACCACCGCCAAAUCCACCUCCACCUCCAGCUCCAGCUCCACCUCCAAAUCCACCACCUGCUCCACCUCCAGCACCACCUCCGAAUCCUCCACCGCCACCAGCACCACCUCCGAAUCCUCCACCAGCACCACCUCCAACACCGCCACCGAAACCACCACCUUUACCAAAGCCGCCGCCACCGCCAAUGCCACCACCCUUUCCAGCUCCACCUCCAAGGCCUCCUCCUUUGCCAAUACCACCUCCAAGUCCACCACCCUUUCCAAUUCCACCUCCAAGUCCACCACCAUGUCCUCCUCCAAGUCCACCACCCUUUCCAAUUCCACCUCCAAGGCCUCCUCCUUUGCCAAUACCACCUCCAAGUCCACCACCCUUUCCAAUUCCACCUCCUUUUCCUAUUCCACCACCAUGUCCUCCUCCAAGUCCGCCUCCCUUUCCUAUUCCACCACCAAGGCCUCCUCCUUUGCCAAUACCACCUCCAAGUCCACCACCCUUUCCAAUUCCACCUCCUUUUCCUAUUCCACCACCAUGUCCUCCUCCAAGUCCACCUCCCUUGCCAAUCCCACCGCCAAGGCCUCCACCUUUUCCAAUCCCGCCACCAAGUCCACCACCCUUGCCAAUGCCACCACCAAGUCCACCACCCUUUCCAAUGCCACCACCAAGUCCACCACCCUUUCCUAUGCCACCACCAAGUCCACCACCCUUUCCUAUGCCACCACCAAGUCCACCACCCUUUCCAAUGCCACCACCAAGUCCACCACCAAGCCCUCCACCUGCUCCACCUCCAGCACCACCACCAAAACCACCUCCAAGACCUCCACCUCCACCUCCACCAAAACCACCCCCACCACCAAACCCACCUCCCUUAGUCAAAAAGUACUUCUCAUCCGUAUUUACCACAUUCUUAGCAACUACAUUCACCACAAACACAUUAAAACAAAGCAAAGAAAACAAGACAACUCUCUGAGCAAAGCACGCCAUUUUUGUUUUUUUGUUCAACUUUAGCUACGUUCAUGAGAUGGAUGAAACCCCAAAGUGCUUUUAUAAACCAAUGGGGUCGCAUUAAAUCAUCUCAACAACUAACUGUUGGCCACAUUUAAUGUAAUAUUAACCACUAUUAUCAAGUAUCAAAAACCAACCUUUUUCUGAGUAAGUUGUAUCUCAAAAACCAGCUCACGAGGUUACCUUUUAUUUUGCUCAUCAUUAGAUCAACCCCUUGAUUUGUUAUCUUACAUACUACUAAACCCUAAUUAAUUAACUCCAAUACCAAUAGGCUUAAAUUUGGUGUGCGUAUAUAUAUAUAGCCAACUAAAAGUUAGCUUUGUUUCUAUCAUGCAUGUAACCCAACGUUCAAGAACUCGAUUUUUGUAUAUAAAAAUAUUUGUAAUAAUAAUAAUUUAAAGUCAAGAAAGGAUCAUAUGAAACUGUGAUUCCACAUCAUCAUUAUCCCUUUCCAAUAACAGACUAACAAAUCAGAUUUUUUCUCCUAAUUUUUUACAUUUUUAGUUGGAUUUGAAUUUUUACAAAAGAAAAAAGUUAAAAAUUAGGAGGAAAAAUCUAAUUUAUUAUUCUUCUAUUAAAAAUGAAUAAGGAUGACGUGAAAUCACAGUUUCAUACAAUAACUUCUCCCAAUAUUAAAUACCACAAAUAUUUAAACCAAAAGGAAACCUAAGUUUAAUCAUCACUUUAAAGCACCUUUAUAUAGGUCACCAAUGAGGUCAUGAUAUGUAGGUAAUAGUCUCAUCAAUCAUUUUUUUUCUAUGAAUAAAGUACUUUCUUUUUUAUCCAUAGGUUUAUUUCAUUAAAAAGCUCUUAAAAUAAAUAUAGAUAAUUUAUUUUUUUAACAAAUGAAAAUAUGUAUAGAAGGAGGGAUUCGAUUCGAUAUAUUUGUAUGCCAUUAGUAUUUUAAUAAUCCAACCAUUAUAGUUCAUAUUCCGUUCAUAUAUAUAAUGCAUGGCAAAUUUGAUAUUAAUUUAAAUUUUCUAACUAUUUGCUUUACCAACCAUUAAAUAAAUAUUAUUAAUAUAUACAAUGUUUCAUAUUAAUAUGAUAGAAAUAUUGGACUAGUUCGAAAUUUUACGUAUAUAAUAAAUACAAUUGUAUUGAUAAAUUCACAAGUUGGAUCGUUAAAUUAUUAAUCGUAGAAAAAUAUGAAAGCUAAUGUAAAACUAUUUUAAUUUUAUACAUUCAUACAAUACAUUAAAUAUAAACGCUUUAUUUAUACUAAUUUCCUUUUUAGUUAAUAUUCUUAUGAACUUUUCAAGAGUAAAUGUAUAUAUGUGUGUGUAUAUAUAUAUAUCGAAGUCCUAUGUUUGAAGAAAUGUAUGGAUAAAAAAGUUAUCAAACUCACAUUAUAUGUAUGAAUAUAGGAAUACUCUUUUUAAUCCAAACCAGAAAUAUUUUGAUAAAUCACUGAAUCCAAGUACUAUAACCUAUUAUUUCAUGCUGCUCAACAACUUGCUGUAGCUAUCGGUAUUUUCAGCCAUAUACACACCCAUAAAAGUAAUAUAUAUAUAAACCCUAGAAAUUUUAACAAAUUAAACCCUCUUUGGAAAGAAAUCGAGUAUAACAUGGGAAUCAUGGUUUAGAGUAGUGAUGAAUCUUGGCAUUAAGUUAUGGGGAGUUUAAUUAAAAUUUUCAAAAUCUAAUGAGAAUUUUUAAAAAUUUUGAAAAAAAAUCACGGUUUCAAAUUUAAACUAUAUAAACGUUAAUUUUUAAAUAAUGAAUAGUUUUUAUUGAAAAAACAAACAUAUUCCAUGACUCAUCCCUAUAUCCAAAAAAUGAUUAAAUAGAUUUAAUAUGCACAUGCAUGGGUCCAACUUCAACCAACCCCCUUUGAAAGUUAAGAAAAUUGAAAAUGAAAGGUAAUAACUAAUUAAUUAAUCUAUUUUUUUUCUAAAAAAAAUAAAAAUAAAAAAGAAAUCCAAAAGUACAUAAACAUUGCUGUUGAAAAUGCAUGCAUCAUUGAUAAUAUCCAUGUGCUUGGUAGAUAGGCAAAUUUAUUGCUAUUGGUGUUAUAGUUUUUUUUCUUUAUUUUUGCUUAAUAAUUUCUUUGUCAUUGCAUUUAUAAUCUUUCUUAAAAUAAACAGAUAAGUAGCUAAAAAGAGAAAAUAUUAGUAGUUGAAUGUCUUCUCUUCAAAAAAGAAUUUUAAAAAAAAAAGAUAGUUUCUUGAUUUUAAAGUAAUUGCAAAUAUGUCCUAUGUUCACCCACGACAAUAAUUUAAUGCAAGGAUUUUAUAGGUCAGAUUAUUUAUCUAAGGCAUCACACCGCAUCUAAUCGCCCAUUCAAACUCCACCUAAGUCGAUAAAUUUGUUUUGAUUUGAAUUUAAAAUUUCUUUUAUGAGAGGUUUAAGAUUAUUAAGAACAUUAAUUUGGGUUUAUUUAGUUUAUUUUAAUAAUGUUAUAAAAAAGUAUUAUUUCAUGAAAUUAUUUUAUUUAAAUUUAGUAUAAAUUUUCAUGCAUGAUUGAUUGCGGAAAACAAGAGACCAAUGCAUUACAUCAUAAUCAUAUACAUAUAAAAAAAAUCAGAAAGGAAAUUUCUCAAUCAACAUUAGAUAUGUAAGAGUAUGAUUUCGGGUUAAUGUUAUUUUUGGUUCUUAAAUUUGAUAAUUAUGUUCAUUUUGGUCCCUAAAUUUUGAAAAAUAUGAAAGUUUGAUGACGUGGUACAACCUCAAAGUAUUACGUUAUCAAAUCUUGAUGGAAUCCAAAUUUAAUACCCAAAAUAUGUCUAAUUAUCAAAUUUCAAAUACCAAAAUAAAUAAAAGAAAUAAAUACAAAUAUGAAAGUGAAUCUAAUUGUAAAGUUCAUGGACCGAAAAAUAUAUCAACCUUAUCAUUUAACUUUAGCAACACAGACAUAGGAUCGGUAUUGUAUUGAUACCAUUUGUAUCAUUACAUACCAAUUUCAAAACAAAAUGAAAUAAUAUAAAUAGUAUUUUGAUUUAAUUAUCCGACAUCGUUAGAUCAAGAAUUGGUUUAGGUGUCAGUCCAAAAUAAAGGAUUUGACUGAUUGACUCACGAAUCGGUUGAAUGAAGUUAAAAAAAAUUGAUUGACUAACGAUUUAAUCAAUUUUCUCUAUUUUUAUUUUUAAAAUUUAUUAAAAUUUUAAUAAUUUAUUCAAUUAAUAAUAUAAAUGGAUAAAAUUAAAAAUUGUUAAUAUAAUAGAUUCGAUAUUUAAAUACUUGCUAUUUGACAUAUAUCAAUUAAAAGUGAUUUUUUUUUUUUUGGAGGGGGGAUUGAAUGGGUUUUCUCAACGCUGUGUCUACAUGGUAUGUGUAAAUCAAAUAAUUAGCCUCCGACUUUUGACUGAUUUAAUGGUGCCCCUACUUGAUAGGCCCAGGCUUCAACCUUUGGCGUCGGCGUUCCACCACCGUCACAGUGUGGCAGUAGGGGGUUGGUAUCAUUUUAAUGUAACAGAUUGGAUCCAACUCUUAAAACUUUGUAAUAUAUCCAAAUAUAUAAAUAUCUAGAAUGUAUUGAAUGCACCAAAAUUUGAUUUUUAAUGAAUGCAUUUUAAGAGUAGUGUUGAUAAAAAAUAGAAGUGGUGAAGGUGGUUGGUUUGUUUUUCUUGAAGAUAGGGUGGAGAGUCGUUGAAUAUUUUGAUUUGACAAAGGAAGAGAACGAUAAUAGAUUGCUUAAUCUUAAAGUUUAAAAAAUUAGAAGAAGUUAUUGGUUCGUCUGUUUAACUUGUUUGUCCAGUUCGAUUAAAUAAAUUAUUAAAAAAUUCAUAAAAAUAAAAAAUAUAUAUAUUAAAAAUCUAAUUCAACCAACUUUUUUUUUCGGUUCAAUCAGUUUAUACUAAUUCCUAGAUCAAUCGAUUCAAUGUCUUUCUCCAAACUAAUAUACCUCAAUCAAUUCCCAAUUCAACUAAUCCAAUAUUCAAAUAACCUUCCUUAAUCCUCUCCCUCAAAUUCUCAGCUUUAUACAUACAAGCCAUCCCCUGUCCUAAGGUGUCGUGUGGUAAGUCACUAUUACUACAGUAGAGGUUACAAGCCAAUAGUCGAAUACUAUAGGGCCAGGUAAGUUGGUGCUAUGAUGGUCUUGGGUGGCGCUGCUUGACUCUAUAGUCCUUUGCUAUGACAAUUAAUGAAUGGGCCCUUCAGGCCCUAUAUUCUGCUGGGCUUUUAUCAAUCAUCGAGGCCUUCUCAAAGACUAUGUAUAUAUUUUUAUUUUAUGUUUUUUAUAUUUUGGAUAAACUACGUUAAUAGAUAUUUAAUUAUUACUUACUAUCGUUAAAUUAUUAACGGGAAGAUAACUUCACAAGUUUUAAAAUUAGUAUAAUAGCAAUUUUAACUUUUAACAAUAUGCAUUGUGUCAAUUUGGUAUUGGUUCUAAAAAAAUAACUCUUAAUAAUUUAAAUUUUUUUUCAACUUUGUUUUUCUUUCUAACCCCUUCACUUAAAAAGCCAAAAAUAAAUAAAUUUAUAAAUCUAAUUUGAUCGAAAAUAUAAAAAAAUGAAAAUACUCACAAAUCAAAUAUUAUAACUUAAUUGAUUUAAAACCCCCUCAUAUUAUAACUUUUUUUAUAAGGAAAAAAAUGGUUAUAUAUGGCAAAUUUUGCUCAUAAUUCUUUUAAUAUUUGUCCUCACAAAUUGUGGUUUUUUUGGAAGUAGGUUCAUAUGUCUCCACUACUUUAAUUUGACUAAAAGAAUAAAUAUGAAAUUGAAAAGAUGAAUAAAAUGGUCCAAAAGCAAAAAGGAAACCAUGUGGAAUUUGUGGCAAUGAACAUAGAAAUUCCACAAGAUUCGUUUUGGUACAAAAGCGCCACAAUAAUUAAUAUUAUUAAUUGGUAUUAAUUUAAUUUAACUAUGUUAAGACUUUCCAUAUUCACCCUUUAAAUAAAAUACCAUUAAUUGAUUUUUAAUUCAACCGGUUAAAUCGAAUAAAAAAUAUAAAUUUUAUUAAUAAAGUAAUUUUAAGAUAUUGUUUUAUAGGUACUUUAAUGAUCAUAGUGAUAAACCAAGGUCAUUUGAUCAUUGGUGAUUUUAAAUAAUUUUUUUAACAGGUUCUGAUUAUAUUUUAAUUUAUUUUUUGACAUAAUGUUUAGAAUUAUCUAUGGUCCUUCUCUAACUCAUAAAUAGGAGGAUAAUGCACUUUAUCACACUCAAAUCUACGUCCUCUUAUAUUGAUCACAAUACCCAUGCCAAUCGAGCUAAGAAUCGAUCUGCAAAAAAACAACAACAAUUCAACCCAUUUUUAAUUUUUUUUUUAUUUUAGAUUAACUAUAACGAUAUAGAUUACUUGAUUUUAAAUUAUUGUGGUGUUACAUAAGCAAAAAUAACAUUGAUAUUAAUAAUAAAAUUAUAUAAUGAAAGCAACAACUUUAAAUUUUAUUAAACCAACCAUUAAUAAAAUAUGUAUAACUCAAAGUUAUUUAAUCUUCGUAGUAAAAUAUAUUACUAUCAUAGUUCAAAUAAUAUUCGUUGUUGCGCCAAGUCAUUUAAAUUAAAUAAUUUUUUAUUUAAAUUUAAUUCAGCUCAUAAGUCCAAAAUUUUUAGGAUCAAAAAUUGAUGAUCGAAUUGGUUAAUUAUUGGUCCGACCAAUUUAAUUAAAUAAAAUAUUAAAAAUUAGCUGAAUUAUUUUUUAACCCAAUAGAUUUAUACAAAUUUAUGACUCCUUAGUAAAUUCUCGAUACAGAUAAGCAUAAUCUAACCCAAAGUCAAAGUCUCCAAUUUAAUAGUGGCAUUGAUGUUGAUUUCUUAGCCAUUCUCUAUGCAUUAUCUUCACAUAUUUUAUAUCUCCAUUACAAAAGCACUUUAUGGAUAAGUUCUUGUAUAUAUUGCUUUUAUUUUUCAAUUCUAUAACUUUUUCUAUCUUCAAAAAUUAUAUUAAACAAUAAAUCUUAAGUCAACAUCUUAUUUAAAUUAAAAAAUAAAUAAAAUUAAGGAGCACAAUAGCAAAUUUAUCAACCUUAUUUGAAACUUCAUUAGAGGAGGAAAAGAAAAUGAUUAAGUUUGGUUGUUAAUCCCUAUAUUAUGUAUAGUUGUGGAUUUAGUCACUGUAUUCUAAUUUAAUCAAUUUUAAUCACUGUACUUUUUGAGUUGACCAAUUUCAAUCUCUAUAAUUUUUAAAAUUUAAAAUUUUAACAUUGAACCAAAAGGUAACAAUUAAAUCUAUUAGGUCAAAUUCUGUUAUUAGUCUCGGAAGUCAUAGAUUUAAUCACCGUUCUCAAAUUUGAUCAUUUUUAAUUCUUAUACUUCUCAAAAUUUUAAAUUUUAAUCCUGACUCGAAUAAUAGCAAUCAAAUUCAUUAUCUAAAAUAAACGUGGCUUUUCUUUGAAUAUUAUGUAAGAAUAGCAAACUAACAUGACACUACACGUGUGAUAAUAUAUUUGCUGCAUAAAAUUUUAGAAAUAAAAAAAUUUAAUUAAACACAUUUAGUAUCCACGGUUUAGUUAAGAUUGAAAUUUUAAUAUUUGAAAAAGUAUAAGAACUAAAAAUGAUCAAAUUAAAGUACAUGAACUAAAUCCAUAAUUUACAUAUAGUACAAGGAUUACUAGCAUAAUUUAACCAAAAAGAAACUAUCUUAUUUGAAAGAAAAGAAGGUAUUUCCGUCAUUUCAAAAGCCCAAUAAUGGCAUUGCCGUCAUUUUAUCUAAAGCAAAGGACAGUUUCAAAAAAAACCCCAAUCAUAUAAUGCUUUUAUUAUUUUUGAUCACUCAUUUUGUUGUGGUAUUUUCCUCUUGUUUUUCUCUCUUUUUUCUUUUUCCCUCUUUUCUUUCGCCUGCCUGUAUUUUGCUGUUAUUUUAGAUCUCUUCUACCGUUUUCCUCCGCCACCAGCCGGCGGCUCCACCGCUUAUCCGCCGUCCGUACACCCAGAUUUUUAAAACUCUCUUUGGGUUAGCACCGCUUGUUUUUCAUCUCCAAAAUCUGUCCCUUUUCUUAAAAUAUAUUUUUAAAAAUUUUUGAUUUAAUAAAUUUGGGGUUUGUUAUGAAAAUGUAUGUUUUCCAGUUUUUUUUAAUUUUAUUGAUAAUUUUUUAAAUUUUAACGUUGGGAAUUUUGGCUAAUUUGUCAUUUCUCCAAUUUGUACGUUUCCGCUUGCUUAUUAAUAAAGUUGAUUUGACAGUUAUUCAAGUGAAAAGGGUAAAAAAUAUCAAUUUUCUCAUUUGACGUUUUUGCCUUUACAUAACGAUGGUUUAACGGAAUUAACCCUCUUCUGACGUGGCAUGAAAAUGAGUCAUCACCCGCAUAGUAUUUUGACACCUGGGAUCUCAAGAAAGCGUAAAGAGAGAGAACCUUUUUAUUCAUUUAAACCGUCAAUGCCGGUUCAAUCACCGGUUUAUACCGGUCCUAAACCUCUACCCUCCUCUAAUUGUUCGAACCAGCUUUUAGCUGGUUACAUGGCGCAUGAGUUCUUGACGAGAGGUACGUUGUUGGGUCAAAAAUUCGACCCGGCUCGAUCAGAGGCUGUUCCGGUAAUCGGCUCACUGGCUGGACCGAGAAAACCGGUUGUUAAGCUGGAAACUGAACCGAGGAAUCUUAAGAAAGAGAGCCAACGUUAUGCUGACGUGGCGAGAAUUUUGAAGGACGAUGGGACCCACAUUCCGGGAAUCGUUAACCCUACUCAACUUUCAAGGUGGAUCAAGAUGUAAAAAAGGCAAAAGAAGAUUCCCCAAAAAUUUGAUAUGACGUGCCGAUAUGUGAUUGGAUGAAAAUUCAUAUCCACGUAAUUGAAGUUUGUACUCUUAUGCAUCUGAUUAUCCCUAUCUUUUUCGAGACCGAUUGUGAGUUUUUCUUCUUGGGUAAUGUUAGUUAAUCUAUGUUUUUUUUUCUUUAAUUCGACGUAAGUGUUGUUUUGUUUUUAUUUAUAUUAGAUUAUUGCACGUUUAUAAAAAAUAAAUUAUUAAAAAUUUAAAUUUAUUUAAAAUAAUAAAGUUAAAGCUUUGAAAAUAAUAGUUUUCUAGGUUAGGGUUUAUUAUAUAAAAAUAACCUUCGUAAUGAUAUAAUUUAUCUUAUAAAAACAAUUUUUAUUAUUUCUUAACUAAAUUCACGUAUAGUUGAUUCUUUAUAUCAACUUAAUUAAUAUUUUUAAGGAUAGUAUUUGAUUAAAACACCGUAGGAAUUUUUAUAUUAAGAGUUCGAUUACUUAUCACUCUCUCUAUUAAGAAAAUAAAUAAAUUAUUUUUUUGUAUGUUAGAUCAAAUAGCAAACUAGUCAUUCUGUUAAAAAAUUUAUCUAUUUUUAUUAUUAAAAAUAGUAAUGUACAUCAACAUGAGGUACACAUGGUACGUCAUGUGUCACGGUCUGGUUAUAUCAAUACAAAUAGAUAUAAUUUUUAGCAUAAAUAACUAAACUACUCGUUGAUCUAAUGUAUAGUAACUAAUUUACUCGUUUUUAAAUAAAAAAUAAAAUAUAAUUGAAUCUUUACAAUACUCUUACUCAAAGGUUUGCAUUGGCUUUGAAGUAAUCUCUAGUUCAUGUGCUUAGGUAAAGGUUGGUCCUUUUACUGUAUAAUACAGAAUGUGUAAAUAUUUUUUUUGUGACUGAUGAGAAAAUAAUUAAUUUUAUGAGUUGUAUUUACUUAAAUUAAAAAGUAAAUGAUUUGAUAUUAGUUUAAAUUAUGGCUUGUAUAUCUAUUGAACUAACUUAAAAAAUUCACUUAUAAAAUCAAUUAUCAUUUGAAUUAAUUUUGACAUAUUUUAAUUAAAUUUAUUUGAUAAAAUUAACUUUAAAAAAUUUAAUUGAUAUAAAAACAAAUAUUUCAAGAUGUUUUUCUGUUCAAACUAACCAAAUUGAUUGAGUCGAAAAUUUAUUAACAUCAUGAGUUAGAUUUUGAAAAGCUUCAACAAUGCAUUUUCAUGGAAGCAAGAAAAUUAACUUGACAUCGUUGAGAAUCUGAUGCCACAAAAAUCUAGCGAAUUUUUCACAUCUCCGAACUAGUACCUUCUUUUUAUAUAUAAAAGAAAAAUGAAAAUCAAAUAGUCUAAAACAACCACAUAAUCAAAAGCCUAUUUUAGAAUCCAACAACAAUGAAAAUCUUAACACCCUUGCAAAGCUAAAUCGUAAGCAAUGGGAAAAUACUUCUAAGCAUUUUCCCUCCAUACAAACAAGCUAUAAGAGAAAGUCUACGCCGCCUUGAUUGCAACUGAUGAUCUUGCUUUUAGGUUGAGGAAGAUGGCCCUGAAAUAUUAGCAAGAAAAAACUUAUAUCAUUCGGACUUUUCAUUUCUUUUGACAUAUUCAUACCAAGAAAAUAAAUAUGAAAUAUAAUUUUCGGUAAAAGUAUCAUGGAUACUCUUGUACUAAGAGCCAUACAAUAUUGUGCCUUUUUUACUAAAAAAUGAGAAAUUAGUCAUUGUAGGAUAAAUUAAAAAGCAAACAGGUCAUUUUAUUAAAAGUUUCAUCCAUUUUUACCGUUAAAAACUGCUGUAGCUGACAGAACAACCAUGUGCACCUCAUGCUGAUAUACAAAUACUAGUUUUUAAUGGUAGAAGUUGAUGCUAGUUUGCUCUUUGGUAUAACUUACAGAGAUUAAUUUGCCUAUCCUUUUAAUAAAGGAGACAAAAUGCAAUCCGACUCCUAAUACAAGAGUCUAUAAUCUUCCAAUUAUACGGAAAACUUUCAAAAGAAAAUUGCAUAUACUUGUGUCGGGGAUACAAAUACGUACCCGACAUUCCGUUCCAAGGCAAUAAAGAAUGAGGAAGAAAAGGGCUCACCAGCACGAAGCGACGAAACUGUGAAACAAAACCCGGAACUGCAGAGGCAUGUACUGGUAGUUUAUCCACCCAACUAUAGGCCAAAACUGCAAGUCAUAAAACAUCAACAUACUCAUAUUAGAUAUAUAUCCGUAUCUAACACUUAUCUCAAAUUUGAGUAUCUAUUCCCAUAUACCCUCCAUGCAGUCAAUUGAACACUAGGAUAAUCCUUUCUAACUUUACUCCUUACUGAACCCCAUGGUCUUCCUGUAAAAAACAAUAACAUAAUAAAUAUCAUUAGUUAUUCGGAUUUGAAAUGUGUCACAUAUGUUUGAUUAUAUCUAUGUUAUUCGGAUUUGGGGUCUCUUUUUCAAUUUAAUACCGUAAAGUAUUUUGAACAAUAUCGAGUAUAAGUGUAAGAUAUGGAUAUACUCAUUUUGUUAUUUCAUAGUUGUUUCGUGUGUAUUUAAGAUUAUAUUCUCGUAUUUAUGUACAAAUAUGAAUCAAACAGGAAUCGAUAAUAUGAAGGUAUGAAUACCUUCAACCACUAAUCCAUAAUACAUCAUGAAGAAAAAAUUGUUCCAAGGUGAAGAGGUCAUCUGUUCCAACAACACCUAAAGGAAAACAAAAAGGAAUAAUUCGAAUUUUCCAAGAAAAAUUAAACAGUAAAAAAUGAAAAUCCGGGAGCUAAUGAAGUGAAAGACAAUAUGAGCAUCGUGUUUUUUUUGGUUAAUAUAACUUUUAGACUCUGAAUUUGACAAUCAAGUCCACUUUGAUACCGGUCCACUUUGUAGGUGUAUUUUAGUCUUGAACUUAAACAAACAAAAAAAUGCAAGCACUAAAAUGGACUUAAUUUCCAAGCUCAGGGACUAAAAGUUAUAUUAACCCCUUUUUUACCUUCUUUGCAACAGUUUUACUUCCUUUCUUUCCCCUGAAAAUGAUAUCCAUCACUUUAUGAAGGAAGUGUCCAAAUGGUCCUGAAUAUGCAAAUCCAUAAAGCUGCAAAGGGAGAAUUCAAUUUCUCUUUCUUCAUUUUUUUUUCCUCUCCCAAUUUUCUUGACAUCCAAACAUCAAACACAUAGAGAGCAAAAAGAAAAAAAAGUCAACUCCAUACCAUGAUGAGAAGCAAUCUUCUCAAUUGAAUCCUUUUAACCCCAGAAAUCUUUUGAGCUAUUAAAUCACUACAACCAGCUAAACACCCAGCUGUAAUUGCCUGCAAAAUCACCCCCCAAAAAAAUCAAAUAAAAAAAUCAAACAAACACCCAAUGAUCAAAAUUGAAGCAAGAGUCUAAUAAAGUAAUCAGUUUGAAAACAUGGGUAUUGAUCAAAAAGAGAUUUCUUUUUGUUAUUUACCUUGGUUCUAAGAGGGUGAACUUGAAGUUGAAUAAGGUAUUUUCUCCAAGCUUCUUGGGCAAUAUCAGACAUGGUGAAACAGAAAAAUAAAAAUAAAAAUCUGCUUAAAAGGCUUUGAUUUUGUUAAGAAUAUGACAAGAGAGGGUUUGUUAAUGGAGUUUUUGGAUUUGAGAUUUUUUAGGACAUGACAGAGUACGAGAAUGGGAAGGGGAUCUGUUAUAAAAAUGACAGCUUUGGGAGGCUUUACUUGCUGGGUAGUUGCGUUUAAGUUACACAUGCGUGCGUGGCUACCAUUUUCUCUUUGGUCAAAGUCUUUCAAGCACGUGUUUUUUCUUGGUUAAAUUUGGCUACUAGUCUAUGUACUUUGUGAAUGUUGUGGAUUUAGUCCAUGUACUUUUAAUUUAAUCAAUUUUAGUUUUUUUUUUACUUUUUAAAUUGGUCAAUUUUAGUCCAUGCUCUUUUUUAAUUUUGAAAUUUUAUUCCUAACCCGAAUAUUAGUAGUUAAAUAUGUUUGAUUAAAUUCGAUUACUAGAAUGUGUACAAUUGUAGAUUCAAUCUAUAUUUUUCAAUUGGAUCACUUUAAGUCCUUAUUGAAUUUUAAAAUUUUAAUAUUAGCACAAAUGACAGUCAUUAAUCUAUUAACAGGAUUUUUAGUGAGUACUAUGUGAAAAUAAUAAGUUACAUAUGAUAAUAUAUUUUUCGUAACAAAUAUUAGAAAUAACAAAAGUUAAUUUAAUUAAUUUAAUAACUAUAUUUGGUGAUGAUUUAAACUUUAAAAUUUAAAAAGUAUAGGGACUAAAAGGUAACUAAAUUAAAAUAUAAGGAUUAAAUUUAUAAAUUUUGUAAAACAUAGGGACUAACAGCAGAGUUCAACCUUUUCCAUUGUUUAAAGAAAAAGGAUCGUGUAAAAUGGUGGCUUAGAAAUGCACGACUAGGAUUAUAUCGGUUGGGUUGAGAAAUGUUUCCGUCUGAUUAGAAAGAUUAAAUCGAUUUUUGAGUGAAUUAUUUGAAAUCGAUUGAAUUUGAGAUAAAAAUCGGUUGAACUGAUUUUAAAAUUUUUAUGAUAUUUUAAAAAUUUAUUCAAUUAAAAUUAAAUUGAAUGUCGAAUUGAAAAUCAAUAAUUUGAUUAUUUUGAUCAUUGGUUUGAUUUUCAAACCAUGAUGACUACAUAUAAAUUUGUACGCGAAUUGUGUUGCCUAUUCAAGUCGAAAGUAAACUUAUUCACCGGUCGGGAUACUCGUCCAAAUUUGAAUUUUCAUUCAAAAUAUGAAAAGAUUUGGACAAAAAUAAAAUAUUUGAAAAAUGGACUUAAACAAUAAAAAUUAGAGUUGUUUAAAAUAUUGAUCAAAUUUGAGCUUCAAAUUCGAAGCCUAAGACUAUCAUAUUUUUAUAUUAGAAAAUGUUAAGUUGUCUAUAUUUAAAAUUUUAAUAAAAUAAAAAAUUAAAGCAUCAAAUGUUAAAUUAAAAAUAAUAUAUUUUAAAACGAGUUUGAAUUAGUCAUUUAAAAAUAUUAGUCGGCUUAAGUAAAGUUUUAGAUCCAUAUUUUGGGUUGAGUUAGACUUGGGCAAAAUAUCUAUACUAUUAAUAAAGCCCCUGAAUGAGUUGGUGUCAUGGAUUAACUGGGUACCAACUCAGUUACGAAAUUAUGAAAAUAUCAUUCCUUAAUUAAAAUGAGUCAUAUUAUUCGAGGGUAUUUUAGCUUUUUUUAUUUUAAAAUAAUUGUAGUGCAUUUAGUAUUAUUUAUUUAGAUGUAUUUAUGUGUUUAAAUUUCAUUUUACUCAUAAAUUAAUCUAUUUUUUAUUUUAAUAUUAUACAUAUUUCAUGUGUUAUUAUAAUUAAUUAAUUUUAAAAUAAUACAUUUCAUUAUUUAUUAUUUCUUAUUAUUAAACACAUAUUUAAAUUCUAAAUUUAUUAUUUCCACUUACAUAUAGAAUUUCUAAUAAAAUAUUACCAUCAUACCUCGAUGAACUCAUCCAAUAUUUAAGAGGGAAUAGACAAAUAUGUUAGAUUCAAUAAAUUGGUUGUAGAAAAAAAAAACAAUUAACUCGUAAAAUAUAUAUUCCAAAUUUUAAUAAAAAAUAUAUAAAUAAUAAAUAAAAUUAAUACAAGUGAGCAUAAUUAAGUUUAGGUCAACUAAUUAUAAAUAAUGAUAAAUUUGGUAAAUAUUUGAGGUCCAUAUUUUAGUAUGAGUCGAGCUUGAACACCUAUGUAUGAUAUUAAUACUGUAACAGGCCAAUUCUGCCCGGCCCACUAUAAACAAAAAUAACAAAAUAAAUAAAACCAAAUAAAUAAGAGUCCAAAGUCUAAAUUACAAUGAUAGCCCAUUUAAAAACAAUAGGCCCAAAAUUACAAACCCAAAGGACCCAAAUCAGAGAAACCCUAAUGGCCUAAGUGGCCUAAAAACCUAAACGGUGUUCAAAAAUAGAAACCCUAAUCUAGCCUGCGCGCCGCUGUUCCUUCCCACCUCAGCGUCACACCCUAGCCUCUGCCACCGUCAACCACGACCUGCAAGGACAGAACAAACACACAAAAGAAACAGUGGCAAGAACAGUAGAAAAAUAGAAAAAUAAUAGUAUAGAAUCGGCUAUAAAAAGCCUAAAAACCCAAUUGUAAGGGGACUUUAAAAAAAGAGAGGAGAAAUUGAAUACAAAAAAGCAAAAAAAAGGUGAUUUAUUUUUCUGUUUUAUUUAUUUUUAAGCAAAGAAAAUAAAUAAAUAUAAUAUAUAAAAAAGGGGACCUUCUGCCUAACUCUGUUUUCGCAUCGCCGUCAGGAGCCUCGUCUCCUCCUAUCCCGAAAGCCGUCAAACCAGCGAACAAAAAAAAAGGGAAAGAUCGAAACUUUUUUUUCUUUUAAAGGGUUUUGGCCUUCAGAUCUGGUUUUGGGGAAUUGAAAGGCCAAAAAAGGGCCAUCUUUUGCAUUUUCGGCCACUGAGAGCAGCGGUGCCCGUCACUGGCGACCGGUGGCUGAUACGAGUCUAAAAUUUGAGUAGAGAAAGAAAAGAAAAUUUGAAAAAGAGAAGAGAGAAUUGAGAAGAUAAGAGAAUUCUGAAAUUGUUUUCUUCCGAUUUUCUUGAUAACUGCUUUCCCAUGCAAUACAUGCAAUUUAAAGAAAACUAACAAAGAAAUGACGUGGAACUAUUCUGUUAUAACCAAAACGCUCCGUAUUACUAAUUCCCAAAACUCCCUGUUUUAAUUAAAAUUCGCGAGUUUCUUCUGCUAGUUUUUUAGCUCAUAACAAUAAUCCCUUCCCGGAUAACAGCCUUGUCCUCAAGGCUGAAAAUGAGGAAAUUUGGC
rnacentral:lncRNA from 1 species